UUUUCUUUUGUUGUCCUUCCUCUCGAAGUACCCGCUUUUGUAUCAUGGAUUGAGGCUGCUCUAGCUAUUUACUUAACUCAUUGUCGCAACCGGAAUCGCGACGGGACGACGAUCCAAAAAAGGAAAACCAAAUGAUUUUGAAAAAGAGUUUGGAGUCGCCACCAUAGUUUAUUUUGGAAAACUACGAAAAAAAAACCAUAAAAGAUAAGGCAAGGUCUACAAAACCAAAUUCUGGUUUCGGAAGUUGGUUACGUGUGGGGAAGGUGUUAGCACCCCACAACGCCUGCCCUAAGGCACCCUUAAUUAAAUACGCAAAUUUGAUGUGGUUUGCAAAAUGUUUAAUUUCCCUAAAAAUAAAACUCUAAAGAAAACAAAAUAUAUUUUUUUUUAUUUUUUGUGCCCGACAAGCAUUGACCUUGCUCCUACGUAUUCUCAAAGUGAGAAAUCAGGGUUACGUAGUUCUAGCUGAGAGAUUGUUUGUUUGUUUGAAAAUGUUUUUAGUUUUUGAAGAUUUUAUAUUUUUUUGGUAUUUUUUAUAUAAAAAAAGGGGAAAGGUUUUUUAGCACAAGGCCUACACGAAUGAUCGCACGUGUGCUUUAAACCCUUUGAAAUAAUUUUGUUAAUUUUUGAAAGAAGAAGAAAAGGUUUUCAGCACAAGGCCGACAGAAUGGUCGCACGUGUGCUUAAACCUUUUAAAAUAAUUUUUGUUGAUUUUUUUUUAAAAAAGAAGAAAAAGGUUUUCAGUAUAAGGCCGACAGAAUGGUCGCACCUGUGCAUAAACCUUUAAAAUGAAAUUUUGUUGAAUUUUAAAAGAAGAAGAAAAAGUUUUCAGCGCAAGGCCGACAGAAUGGUCGCACCUGUGCUUAAACUUUUAAAAUGAAAUUUUGUUGACUUCUAAAAGANNNNNNNNNNNNNNNNNNNNNNNNNNNNNNNNNNNNNNNNNNNNNNNNNNNNNNNNNNNNNNNNNNNNNNNNNNNNNNNNNNNNNCGCACCUGUGCUUAAACUUUUAAAAUGAAAUUUUGUUAAUUUUUAAAAGAAGAAGAAAAAGUUUUCAGCGCAAGGCCGACAGAAUGGUCGCACCUAUGCUUAAACCUUUAAAAUGAAAUUUUUUAUUAUUUUUUUUAUAUUCUUUUAUCUUUCAUUUUUAUUAAUUUUUAUUUAUAAUAUCAAAAUAAUGUUUCAUGUAAAUAUUUAAAACAACGUAAGUAUUUUUUAAGGAAAGUCUAAAAGGUAGAAAAUAAAUUACAGCUUAUAAGAAAAAUAAUUAAGUGUUAAAAGAAACACUAAAAAAAUUACUUUUUAUAAUUUUUAAAUUUACCCAUUUUUUUUUUCCUAAGAAAGAAAAACAAUAUUUAAAAGAAAUAAAAUAAAACAAGAACAAAUUGAAACCGGAAUUUAGUCAUUAAAAGAGAGAUAGCGUCACAAGCUCUAGCACCAUUUUUUUUUAAUUUUAACCCUUUUUUAAAAAAAAAAUACUUUUUAUUGAACAUUUAUUGUUUCUUUCAAAAAUUGAGAAUGCAGCAAAAAAUAAAACAACAUGAUAAUAAAGACUAAAAGAAACAACAUACAAUAACAAUAAAUAAAACAAAACAAUCACUAAGAAAAGGAGUGAUAUAAAAAUCAGGGAUGAGUGCAACACGAAACCCUUUUCUUUUUGUUCCCUUACGUUCUUUUUUCGAAAUUGGAUUUUUCUCUUCCUCUCUUUUUUUGUUCCCUUAUGCUCUCUUCUUGAAUUCAAUCCUCCUCCCCUUCUCUUGUUUGCAAGGUGUAUAUUAGCAAAAUAGAGAAAUAAAUGGUUUUGAUUGAAUCAAAUUAAAAAUCAUAUUUUUCUCUUUAGGAAUAAAUUGAAUACAACAAUCAAUAUAUUAUUUUCAAUUAUUCCUUGCAAUGAUUGUCAUAAUGUUGAUUCGAAUUAUUACCAAAUAAAACAAAAUUUCAAAAAUAUUCUAAAGUGAUUUUUCCUGCAUUAAUGUUAAUUGCUUAUGGGCCUGCUGCACCAUUUUUCCAAGAAAAUCACGUGGAGCACCUCUCACAUUUAAUCACCAUUCUUUUCUUUUCAUUUUAUUCACGUGCACCCCCUUUUUUUCUUUUUUCCUUCAUUCUUUUUUUCUUUUGUUUUUCUUUUUCCUUUUUUCUUCUUUUGUUUUUUUUUUAUUUUUCUUUUUCUCUUUUAUUCUUUUUCUCUUUUUUCUUUUUUUCUUUUUUUUAUCUCUUUUUUCCUCUUCUUCCUUUUUUUUUAUUUCUCUUUUUUUUUCCGUUUUUCAUGUUUUUUUUUCUUUUCUUUUUCCUUUUUUUUUCUUCUUUUUUUUUCUUUUAAAAAUUUUUUGCUUUUUUUUUAUUCUUUCUUCGUUUCUUUUUUUUUUUGUAAUUACUUUUUUUUUAAAUUAAACAAAAUAGUAAAAUAAAAUUAAGAACAACAAAAUAACAUAAAAUAAAAUAAAUAAUAAAAAAAUGAAAGAAAAUAAAUUAAAUAGGACAACAAUAAAAACCAAGUCUCAUUAUUUAGUCACCCGGACGAAAUUGGGUGUUGACACUCAUGUACUUUGGUGUUGUCAUGUCGAGUUACUUAUAUAUUUAGGUUUUGGGCUGACGAGUUACUCUUGUGCAAGAUAUCGUUAUGCUGGAUUGUUGUAUUGUUUUCGUAGUCUGGCACUAGAAACAUUGAAUUGUGCUCGGGCACUAGGGUGCAGAGUUGUUCUUGUACUCGGGCACUGGAAUAUCAAGCCUCCAUCGUACUCAGUUAUUGGAAUGUCGAUCUUAUCUUGUACUUGGUCUAAAGAAUUGUUUGUUUUUAUUGGAAUAGCUAGAUCUUUCUUCUUUUGUUUUGUUUGAGUGGCUAGAUUUCUUGCCUCGCCUAGAGGGCAUUUUAGUUGGUAACUCAAUUUUCUUAGUGAAGUAACGUGGUGCCUCUCCUGGAGAUCUUUUUUAUGAAAGUUACUUGGUGAAGUAGCUCAGUUUACUUGUUGAAGUAGUUUGGUAUCUCGCCUGGAAGGCUUGUAGUGCCUUGCUUGGAGGGCUUUUGGUGUCGCGCAUGAAGGGCUUUAAUGUCGUUUAAGUUGUUCAAAUGUCAUCUCUAUGGUGUUUUCUCAUUACCACCUCCAUGGUCUUUUCUCAUUGCUACCUUUGUGGUCUUUUCUCGUUGCCACCUCCAUGGACUUUUAUCGUUGCCACCUUCGCGAACUUUUAUCUUUAUUUAUGUGGACUUUUAUUGUUGCCACCUCUGUGGACGUUUAUUGUUGCCACCUCCGUGGACAUUCAUUGUUGCCAUCUUUGUGGACUUUCAUCGUUUUCACCUCUGUGGACUUUUAUCGUUGUCGUCUAGUAACUCAAAUGCCUCGUUAGGGGGCUUAUGGUGCCACGUUCGCAGGCUUUUUGUAUUGUAGGAGUAGGCUUUCUAGUUGUGGAUGUUUGUCCUUAUCUGUCCGUGAGAGGAGCCUAGGGAAGGAAACUUUCGUUCCACUGUCUAUCUUUCUUGCUCUUGCAAGACUAUAUUGUGAUCGUUAGCAUAAAGGACAAAAACGAAUAACUUAAACAACAUAAAAAUUCCCGAGUAAAAGUUUUAGGUAUAGAAUGUUUUCUUAUCUCAAUGAACAUUUGUUCAUGUGGUUGAGGUGACCUUGAUUAGCUUUCUACUUUAUAACCAGGUUUUCUCCAGACAAGGUGUACCUUUUGCACAGUUCCUUCUUGGAUUUGGGUAUUAUAACGUCAGAUUGUAAUACUGUAGUCGAGUCCUAGAACGCCAAGUUAUUCCUGCACUUGAACACUAGAAAGUUGGGUUUCUACUUGUACUCAAUCAUUAAGAAAUCGAGCUUUUACUAUAAUUGGUCGUUGCGAAGUCGGGCUUCUAUUGCAUCGUUAAAGUCCUUUUGUACUCUUGUAUGUGAACCUAGAACAUUGGGCUUGAUAUUCUACCCAGACACUAGAUCGUUGAGUUUACUCCUGUAUUUGGACAUUGGAAUGCCCAAUUUGUUUGUACUCGGGAACUGUACCAAUGAGUUGGUCCUAUGCUCAUUGAACUUUUCUUGUACUCAGGUAUUGGAAUGUUGAGUUUCUCCUAUACUGGGUUGUUGGGUUACCUUUGUCCAUGCUAGGUAUCCUUAGGUCGAGCAACAUUUCUUAUACUUAGGUCAAGUUGCCCAAAUGUCGAGUUGCUUCAGUGUCUGGUUGUUGGAUUUCUUAUCGUGUUUGAGCAUUGGGACGCUAAGUUCUUUUGGACUCGGCACAAGUAUGCCGCUUUACUUUUUUUAUGCUCGGGCACUGUAAUGCUAAGAUUUUUCUUUCUGUAGUUUAUGCUCUUGCACUUGAAUGCAUGAUGAACUGCCUUUUGUGCUUGGACACUAGGUUGCCGAGCUUCUUUUCUACUCGGAUACUGAAAUGUUGCGCUUCUCUUGUCACUAAGAUGCCCUUAUACUCAGGUAUCGAGUUGCUCUUGUAAUUUACAAUGGAACGUCGGGUGGUUCUUGCUCGUGUACUCUGGUUAGAACACUAAAUUUCUUAUAUACUCAAUCACAUAAUCGUCGAGGUGAUCAUGUACUCAGACAUCAUAACACCAAGUGUCUUUUGUGGUCUUUGGCUUCAGGCUCUACUCUUGUAGGGUCAUAGGAACCAACCACCCUUUUACUUUGGUGAGGUGCAUUGCAAUCUCUCUUUAAUCAUCGAGAUUCUUUCGUGGUAUACUCUGCUUAUUCGAACAAUUUAUAGAUCAAGGUUAUUCUCGAACUUUAUGGUUGUCGUAGUAAUUAGGUCAUUUUCGAUGUUUGGAUUUUUUCGGUUUUGUGUGAGUAUCUACUACUCGGAAGGAGUUUGGGGAUUGCUCUUGUUUGGAGGGAUUUUUCCUUCUCCAUUUUCUCAAGCUUUUUAAUCUUUUACACAAGCAUUGUGGGAAAAUUCACUAUUUUGGCGUUCUUUCUCCUAUGUGGCUUAUUUUCGGACUUUGAGAUCCAAAUCAUCUCAAAGAUUUUUCUUCAUUAUGUUCUUCAUCAAAGUGUUGUCUUUCCAAGCUUUAGUAGCGAAUGACCCCUUUUUCUUCCAAGGAAGGGUGAGGAUGGGGCUUGCCCCUUUACUUAAGGAUGCUCAACUGACGAGAGUCGAUACUUUACGCUAAGUUGGCUUACACUUGUCUAGGUUAGACUAUAUGUUUUUAUGGGUUAUCAUGAAACCUAGGAAUUUGUCACACCUACAUCGAAAAAAUAGUUUUUCUGGAUUUAAAAUCGUAUCAUAAUAAUGUACCUCACAGAAGGAGUUGUAUCUUUCACUGACCGAGCUUCACGAUUGAGUUUUAUCCUCUGGUGGUCGAGCUUCACAGCCAUCCUUUAUCCUCUAGUGGUCAAGCUUCGCAACCUAGUGUUAUCCUUUGGUGGUCGAGCUUAUUUUACACUCGUGCCUUGGAAUAGUAAUUGUACUUCAUCCUCUUCUAAUACUCGGGAUACAUGCUAGGGCACUAGAAUUUCGAGCUUCUUUUGUCGUCGUCUUAAUGCUUUGCGUUGUAUGUUUUAGCUCGGUAUCUCCUCUAAUUUACUAACAUCAUGCCACGUAUGGAGGUCUUUUAGAUGAAAGUUGUUGUCUAAAUAGUUCAAGUGCCAAUUUGGUGGGAUUUUAUUCAUGAUACAAUCUAGUAACUCAAUUGUCUAGUUCAAGGGCUUGAGUGUCAUGUUCCUGGUCUUACGUUACAACAUAGGAACUUGGAUGUCUCAUUCAAGGUAUUUGAGUGCCACGUUCGUAGUCUUAUGUUAAGAGACAAGAAUAUAAAUCAAAAAGUAGGAUUUUUAUUGAAAUUAAGGUAUGCAAUCCUCAAAAAAGAAAUGAGUACAUAUAACUGUGGAAUGUUUUAACUGUAAUAUGCGUUAAAUUUUGUGACGUUCCGAGCUUUCCUUUGAGCUUUUCUCACUUGUAGGCUCCAUUCUAGACCUAGCAACAUUGGCCAAGCUAAUCAAAUUGUUCUCCCAGGUUUGGCUCUAUCUACAACAUUUCAAGUUGUUCGACUGCUAUUUGUUGGGAUAAAGCGUUGGUGUUGGUUGAGCUAGUUAGAGGUGCAUACAAUGCCACCCUCAGACUGAGGGCGUAACAGACUCUUGCCUCCUUUGGGUCCAACUUCAUAAUGGUGAUGGCCAAACUAUUCUCAACUGGGAACUUCAGUGUUAUGUGUAGGGUGGACACAACGACUUUAAGCUUGUUGAGCGCUUUAUGUCCAACUAGGACAUUGUAGGACGAGCUUGCAUCAACUAGAAGGUAUCGUACUGUCCCACUUUUAUAAGUGCCAAGUGUACCAAAGGUCGUAAGUAGGUAGUUAUACCCUUUGGUGUGGACCUAUUCUUCGAUGGAAUCGACUUAGGGCUCCAGAUAAGGUUGAAUCAGGUUGGUGGGCAUGUCCAACAUUGGUCGUCUUGAUCUGUGUCGUUCAAAGAGAAGUCCUUGUCAAAAAUGGUUAUGGGUGGUAACCUUUAUGGUGGGAUUUGACUUUCUGAAUUUAUACUUCCCUAGUAUCUUUUAUGUGCAACCCGAAACUUCCUUCUCCAGUGAAGCCUCCAAUAAUGGUAUGAAUGUUUCUCCUUGCUUGGGUUGGGUUAGGUUGGAUAAUCUAGUUGUGUAUGGUCCGUUAUGAAAUGGUGGGCUGUUGGUCUUAGGCGGGCUUGAGCCCUAGAACAUGGAACGUCAUGUUGGGCUGCUUUUGUUGUCCUUGGCCCUAACCUAUGAAGCCGCCUUGUCCUUGGCCCCAACCUCGUCUCAGGUAGCUAUCAUGUCACCGACCUUGUCGGUCAUUUCCUUCUAGAUGAACCAGGCUAGAGCCUUGAGGGAAUCAACUCUUCAAUGAUAUCCCUUUGGUGACAGUAGUCCUCAGUAUUGUGUCCUAUUCUCUAGUGGUAGGCACACAUUUUGGUAGGGUCGUCCUUAGGAGAAGAGGGCUAGAUAAGCUCCAUGUUGCAUGCUUCUCUCAAUAUGGUAUCCCUACUCGCGAUAAAAAAAGUGUAAUGUCCGUACGAGGUUAUAGGUUAGUUAGUAUCGUUGCUCCUCUUGCUCAUCUUGGCUGGCACAUUGGGCUUUUUUUGCUCUCUUUAGUCUGCUUUUUUCAAUGACCAUGUAUUUGGUUGUUCGUUUCCUGAGCUUGUCUAGUCUGUCUAAGCUCUCUAUAAAGAAGGAAUCUAAGAAAGGUCCAAGCUACAAAUUGCAUAUCAACGAGUCAUGACAACAACUAGGUUGAAAUCUAGAAUCAUGGUCAUUGCCUUGAUUAACAUGUCCAUGAAUUAUUAGAGUGUUUUGUUUUCAUCCUACUAUACAUACUUUAAAGUUGUCGAUGUGGUAAGGAUUGUCUUUUGGUCAACAAAAUGGAUCGUAAAUAGCAUGUUAAAUGUGUCAAAAAAAAAGUGUUAACAUAAUAAGGUUUGAAUAACAUCUUACACUACUUAUGUUAUAACAAUUAAACUAUUGAUUGUGUGACAAUUCUUUGAACGUGGGAAAUCCCCUUAAGCAAAGCAUAUAUCUAAGUCAAUAACAAAAAUAAAAAAACAACAUAGAAAUUGAUUGGCACUGUCUUCCUUGCAAGCCAUUUCAUAUUAUUACAUAAAUCAUCCCAAAUCUUUCGAGUUCUUCUUACUUUGGAUUUAUGAUUUUGAUGCAUGUUUCUAUUCUUAACAUUGCUUUUGUUAAAGUUUGUUUUAGCAUGUGAAUUAGUUUUAGUUGCCUUAGCAAGUAAAUUUUCAAGUAUAUCAAUAUCAAACAUAUGACUUUUACAUGACAAGCAUUCAGCAGGUUCAACAGCAGCAUUUGCAUCAAACAAUUUUAUUUCUAAAGUACUAACUUUAUUUCUUAAAACAACUUUAUCAUCAAGCAAUUUAUCAUACUUCAGUUUCAAUUCAUUGUGCUCCAUUUUUAGCUUUUUAUGAGCAGCAUCAAGUUUUUCAGAUUCAUUCAUCAAAUCAAAGAAAGCCUUUUGUAAAUCUAAUUCACUAGAUUCAAAGCUGGAAUCACUUACUUGGCUUCCUGUAUCUUCAGAAUCCGCCAUAAGGCAUAAGUUGGCUUCUUCUUCUGAGUCACUUGAGCUUGUUGAGCUAGAAGCAUUGUCCUCCCAAGCUAUGUAAGCUUUCUUUUUCUUUUGGAAUUUUCUUUCCUUCUUGUCUCCACUUUUCUUGUUCUUUGGACACUCAGAUUUUACGUGCCCUCUUUCUCCACAACCAAAGCAUUUCACACUUGAAGGAGAUUCUUGACUUUCUCUCCUCUCUUUACGAAUUUUGUCCUUUCCUUUUGCCUUCAUAAACUUUGCAAACUUCUUUAUCAUGAGGCUCAUGUUUUCCUCAUCAUCAGAAUCAUCAUCUUCGAUCCUCUUAGAGCUCAUUCCUUUAGAGAUUUCGGACUUGAAGGCUAAUGUUUUUCUUUUGCCUUGAUCCUCUUCAGCAGUUAGUAUCCUCAACUCAAGCUCAUGCUCACGAAGCUUUCCAAACAAAAUUGGCAUUGACAUUUGAGUGAGGUUCUGAGACUCCGAGAUGGCAGUCACCUUUGGUUGCCAAGACCUGUCUAAAGAUUUCAAAAUUUUCACAUUUAGUUCAUCAGUAUCAAAAGUCUUACCCAACCCUGUUAAGUAAUUCACAAUAUGAGUGAAACGCUUUUGAACAUCAAUAUUGUUUCUCCAGGUUGCAUUCUGAACAUCUCAUAUUCCUGAGUGGGAGUGUUUUUCCUAACGCGUUUCACGUCCUCUGUUCCUUCAUGAGUGACUCUGAGGACUUCCCACAUUUCCUGUGCUGUCUUACACAUUGAAAUUCUAUAAAACUCAUCAAGUACAACAACAGAUGAAAUUAUAUUGCGAGCUUUAAUAUCAAACUGAGCUCGUCUAUUUUCUUCAGCAGUCCAAUUAAAAUAUGGUUUUUCUAUCUCUACACCAUCAACUGUAUUCAUUGGAAUAUAAGGACCAUUUUGUACAGCUUCCCAGAUGCCUCUAUCAACAGACCCCAUAAAAAUUUCCAUUCUAACUUUUCAAAAAGCAUAGUUAUCACCAGUAAAAAGUGGAGGUCUGUUAAUGGAAGCACCCUCAGCAUAUACAAGGUUUUGAUUGUGACCGACCAUUUUCGCAAAUAUUUUGAAAAACUAUCAAAGCAAGCUCUGAUACCAAUUGUUGGUAUCCGAAGGGUAUGGUUUGAAGAGUAUAACGCAGCGGAAUAAAACUAAGAGUAAGCGGAAAAGCGUGUUCGGUCACAGUUAAAACGAAGUUGGUCCUUUUUCGAAAAACAAUUUUCUUUUAGAAAAUUUAUCAAACAGUUAAUAUGCGUAAAAUAAAAUGAGUGUAGGGAAUAGAAAAAUCACACGAGUAUUUUUAUACUNGUUCGAUUCAANNGANUNUACGUCCAGUCGUUAAUCACUGUAAAGAGUGAUUAACAGUUUCACUAAAAAUAUUUUUCUCAGAUUACAAUUAAGUGAAUGAAAAUCAGAUAGAUAAACCUUCCUUCGACGAGCGAACCGGAAGAAGACCUGUUAGCAAAAUUAAAGAGAUGAAGUUUUGAUGAUGAACAGAUUUGCACAAGACAAUAUUCACAAAGAAGGAUUGAAGAUCUCCGCAUUUUAUAAAGCUUUGUUAAUAAUCAAAAAUGAUGUAAUAGUGCUCUAAAAUNUUAUAGGGUUGAUUCUUGUAGCUUAAUUGUAUUUUAUCUCUUUUGGGAAUCUUCCACAAGCUGUUUUAAUCGAUUAAACCCAGUUUUAAUCGAUUAAAACGUGGCNNNNNNNNNNNNNNNNNNNNNNNNNNNNNNNNNNNNNNNNNNNNNNNNNNNNNNNNNNNNNNNNNNNNNNNNNNNNNNNNNNNNNNNNNNNNNNNNNNNNNNNNNNNNNNNNNNNNNNNNNNNNNNNNNNNNNNNNNNNNNNNNNNNNNNNNNNNNNNNNNNNNNNNNNNNNNNNNNNNNNNNNNNNNNNNNNNNNNNNNNNNNNNNNNNNNNNNNNNNNNNNNNNNNNNNNNNNNNNNNNNNNNNNNNNNNNNNNNNNNNNNNNNNNNNNNNNNNNNNNNNNNNNNNNNNNNNNNNNNNNNNNNNNNNNNNNNNNNNNNNNNNNNNNNNNNNNNNNNNNNNNNNNNNNNNNNNNNNNNNNNNNNNNNNNNNNNNNNNNNNNNNNNNNNNNNNNNNNNNNNNNNNNNNNNNNNNNNNNNNNNNNNNNNNNNNNNNNNNNNNNNNNNNNNNNNNNNNNNNNNNNNNNNNNNNNNNNNNNNNNNNNNNNNNNNNNNNNNNNNCUAUUUUGAAAAACUCUAGAAUUUUUCCCAUGUGUUUUGUUUAUUUAAUUUCCUCUAGAUUUCGGGAUUACUGUAAUCAAAACCUGAUUAACUUUUCUACUCUUCAACUGCUCUCUUUUAUUAUCAAUGUGGACAUCUUGAUUUUUAGACAUGUAUGGUAUAAAAUAGGGAUGUCACAUUUUCUAUCAUUAUAUAUAUACAAACCAUAAAAUAUAUGUAUAUUUUUAAAAUGUAAAUUUUAUUCAAUAUUUACAUAUAUCAUACAUGAUUAUUAUGAAAUCUGGAUUAUUUUAAAUAAAAUGAAAUAUUUUAUAAAUUAGUAAUUUUGAAAGGAAAGUAUUACUAUACAUGUGAUAUUCAAUUUUUAUGAAUGAUAUUAAAAUAUUAUAUUUAAUAACAUGAUUGAUAAAAAUAAUAAAAAAUUAUAUCUUUUGUAUCCUUUUAAUAUCAUAAUACGUUAUUGUUAUUUUGUUUAAAAAAUGAUUCUGGAAAAAUUAAACUUGUUAUUGUCGUUAUGAUUUUAAAUUUAAAAUAAUUAUUUUAUCAUUUUUUAUGAUAUGAAUUCAUUAUAACUGCUUGUUUUGAAUUGAGAAAAAAUAUCACCCUACAUAUUAUUAUUACUUAAUUUUUAAAUUAAAAUUUUGGUUUAAAAAUUCACAUUUUAAAUAUGUGAAAUAAGACAUAAAUGGAAAGAAAAUAAUAAUUUAAUAUUUUAAAUUAUAAAUAAUUUACAAUCUGUUAUCUAAAAUUAAAAAUUAAUCUUAAAGUUUGAAAUUUAAAUUAGUAAUGUGUUGAAAUUUAAAGUUUUUAAACUUAAUUGAUAUUGAAAUUUAAAGUGGAAAAUAAAAGAAAAGACAUUUUAAUUUUAUUUUUUUAAAUUAUUUGUUUUAUAUUUAAAUAUUAAUUUUAUAAAUAAUAUUAUUUAAAAUUUAAAAAGUAAAAUAUGAAAUUAGAAAAUCAAAAUAUGGAAAUGAAAUGUAAGAUACAAUUUUUCUUUUCGGCUUGAUUAUAAAUAAAUAAGAUUUAAAACGUCAUAGAUAGAGAUUAGACGUUUAUUAUUAUUUUUAUUUUAUUGUAAAAUUUUAUCUUUUUAUUUUUUUUUCCGCUCAUUAUGUUCAAAAUUAGAGAAAACAUUUGACUAUUGACGCUGUAAAUUUAAAUAUCUUUUUUCACAUAUUGUUUCUUUAGAUAAAAUAUGUUAUUAUAUUGUUAUAUCACACACACAAGAGAAGAUGAUUUUUAGUAGAUUUGUAAGUUGAAGUUGCUCAAAAUGGAAAUUAAUGUCUAUGCAUAAUUUAUUUGAUUGAUUUUAUAUGUUAAGAUAUAUGAUUGAUGACUAGUAUAUAUGAGUGAGAGAUUACUGUUAUAUAUAUAUAUAUAUAUAUAUAUAUAUAUAUAUAUAUAUAUAUAUAUAUAUAUAUAUAUAUAUAUAUAUAUAACAUAACUUAAUAAAAAAAGAUGUAAUGAUUGUAUGAAAUAUUGUUCCUUUUUUUAGCAGUAAGUUAUAUGUAUAGUUCAUGAAUAUUGCAAAGUAAUCUUUAUCUUUGAUAUUGGUAAGUAAUUAUAAUUAUCAUGGUGAAUAAAAUUAUUGAUUUUACUUGUGUUUUCUCUAAAAUGUUUUAUUUCCAUACGCACAUGUUGCUAACGUGAUUUUUUUUAAUAUUUAAAUUUUAAUUUAUUAAUCAAAUAAUUUAAAAACUUUUAAAAUCAAAAGCAUUUUUAUAAGAAAUAAAAAAAUAUUAUAAAUAAAGUAAAAUGAUGAAGUGUUAUGUAAUGGAAUGAUUUUCUUAAAAACAAAGAAUAAACAAAAAUGGUGUUCAAAAUACACUUUCCAUUUAAAUACUUACUUUGAAAUAUUUUUAUAAUUUUUUUUUUAAAUUUUACAAACUUUUUAAAUUUUAAUUAAAAUAUACCAUUUUAGUAUAUCUGUCAAAUCCAUGCCACAAUAUAUUUACUUUGAACGAUUACUUCAUAUUUUUAAAAGAAUUAUGAUUCUUAUAACAUAAUAUUCCUGAAAGUUACUUUAAACAAAGAAUUUAGUUAAACACAACUUAUAAAAUUUUCAUAAAACCGCAUUUAUAAUAAGGAAAUAAGGAAAGAUAACUUGCUUUAGUUUACUAUCAACAAGUUAUUCAAUUCAUAUACAUAAAGAUUUUUUUUCUGCACUUAAAUCUAAAAAUAGCAUUAUAUUCUAUGCUUAAACAUUCUUCGUAAAUCUCUUUAAAUUAUAUUCAAAGUAUUUUUUACCAUUUUAAAAAUAAAUAAAUAAUAUUGUCUAAAACAAUUGCUUAAUUUCCAUAAAAAGAACAACGAUUUUAAGUAAUAUUAUAAAAAUAAAUAAAUUAAGCAUUCCAACUUCAAAAGUAAAACUUAGAUAACUACAUUACAAGAAAAAAAAGAAAACUCAUUUUCCUUUGUAAAAUGAUUUCUCUGUUGAAACUUGAAGAAAUGAAUGAUGAAAGACUAUUUUAGAACAUCUUUAAUACGACAUUAUAAAAUGCCUUGUUUUUUCUUAAAAAAACAUUGACUUCUUUAUAAGAAAAUUGAGUAAAAUUUGAAGAAAUAGAUGAGUAUAAAAUAGUAUUUUAGAAUUUCUAUAAAUGCAGUUAAAAAGACCUAGUUUUUUCUUCAUAAAAACGACUUCUUUACUUUGAAACUUUAGCAAAACUGGAAGAAAUAAAUGAUGAAAGAAUUUCUUAUAACUUCUAUAAAUGUGCAAUUAAAAACACCUCUUUUUUCUUCAUUUCAUAUAAUGUUUUUUUGAAAUGAAACUUUGCACAGGAACGUUGUAAGUUAUUAUUUCAGGUUAACCGACAUUCUUAAACUUCAUUUAGUGUAUUAUGAUGUUAUUCUGAGUUGCUUUUCAAUUAUUGGGUUUUCACAAGAUUUUUAUAUCCGUUGUUUUUAAGUUUAAAUUUUCUUAUCAGUUAUAUCUUUAUUUCUAAUUUAAUAUUUAAUAAUUUACAAGUAUGCACUGAAUUAAAAAGAGUAAAAUAAAAAAUCUUUCAGUUAUUUUUAUCUGGAGUUAACGUUAGAGAGAUGAGAGAUAGAGUAUGUUUAAAUUUAUAAUUAAGUUAAAUGAUUUAAUGAUAUUAAUUUAAGAGAGUAAUGGAAGGCGUACUAAGAAGGAGUGAGUUAACGUAUUAGAAAUUAAUGAUAAUAGAGGGAGUAUUUAAUAGGACCGCAUUUCAGUGUUAUGUUUUGUGUUUGUGGUCAAAGAGAGUAAAGUGUAACUGUCCAUUUCUCAAUUAAUUCCAAUCAAUUGUAAUCAAAAUGGUUGAUCACCGUCCAUAUCAACACGUAAAGAUUAAAAGUCCAUUCAAUAUACUAGCACAACAUUAGUAUCUAUCAAUCUAUAUAUCAAAAUUGUGUUAAGAAAUGUAAUAUCUUAGGAAGCAAAGUAAGUAAGAGGCCCACAUUUCCUUCACCUAGCCUUGGCCAAGAUAGUGUGGACCAAAAACAACCCAUUCUAUGGUUCUCACAAUCUUUAAACCAUGGCUGUCCUUUUGUUUUGCUUCUUUCCCAUGCCAAUACCAAACUACUUAAACAAAGAAAAAGAAAAAAGAUUAAAGCCAUCCUUGGCCCCUCUUGAAGCCGGUCAUAUUACCAACUUUUCUUUCUUCUAUUCUUUUCUCUUUUAUCAAUUAAUUAAUAAGUUGAAAAUAAAAAAGUUAAUAAAUUAUAGAAAGAAGCGCGUGGGAUAUGGUGGAUGCGGUGAAAACAGUCUUGUAAAGUAAAAACUCUUUGAAGCUGGUGAUGGUGUGAGACAUUAGAGUACAUAUUUAAACAACAUGAUACCUUGUUUGUUCUAUUUAUACUAAAAAAAAACUGUGGUACCUUCUACUCUUUCCCAAACUCCAGUCACACAAUUCCCACCUCUCUUUUUCUUAUGGUGUUUCGCCGGAUAAACAGUGCGGUAUUUCCCUCCAUUUACCUUCUGCUCUUGGCUAAUUCGGAUUCCUGAAUCCCACCCAAUGGCGUUGCUCUCAAUUAUCUUUUUCCUCCUCCAACUCACUUUUCAUGUCAGAGUUAACUCGGAGCCGACUCAGGACAAGCAAGCCCUCCUUGCUUUCCUCUCCCAAACCCCACACUCCAACCGCCUCCAAUGGAACGCUUCCGCUUCCGCAUGCGACUGGGUGGGUGUCAAAUGCGACGACUCCCGCUCCUUCGUCUACUCGCUCCGUUUACCCGCCGUCGACCUCGUGGGUCCGGUUCCACCCUCCACAAUCGGUCGCCUCUCCCAGCUUCGGAUCCUCAGUCUCCGCUCCAACGGUCUCACCGGCGAGAUCCCUGCGGAUUUCUCAAACCUCACCUUCCUCCGCAACCUCUACCUCCAGAAGAACCAGUUCUCCGGUGAGUUCCCUCCGAGUCUCACUCGCCUCACUCGUCUCACUCGCCUGGAUCUCUCCUCCAACAACUUCACCGGUCAAAUCCCUUUCUCCGUCAACAACUUAACCCACCUCACCGGCCUCUUCUUGGAGCAAAACAGCUUCUCUGGGAAAAUCCCCAGCAUCACUGCCAAACUCGUUAGCUUCAAUGUUUCCUUCAACCGCCUCAACGGUUCCAUUCCGGAGACGCUCUCCACUUUCCCGGACUCCUCAUUCGCAGGAAACGUAGAUCUCUGUGGCCCGCCGUUGAAGGCCUGCAACCCCUUCUUCCCGGCUCCGGCGCCGUCUCCCUCCUCCAAUUCGACCCCGGCCACGACGCAUAAGAAGUCCAAUAAGCUCUCCACGGGCGCCAUUGUCGCAAUCGUUGUCGGGUCCGUUCUCGUCGCGGCGUUGCUGUUGCUGCUGCUGCUGCUGUGCCUCCGGCGCCGGCGACGGCAGCCAGCGAAACCGCCGAAGCCUGUUGCGGCGGCACGUGCCGUUCCGGUGGAGGCGGGGACGUCGUCGUCGAAGGAGGAUAUCACCGGGGGUUCUGCGGAGGCGGAGAGGAACAAGCUGGUGUUCUUUGAAGGGGGGAUAUACAGUUUCGAUUUGGAGGAUUUGUUGAGGGCUUCGGCGGAGGUGUUGGGGAAGGGCAGCGUGGGGACUUCGUACAAGGCGGUGCUGGAGGAAGGAACGACGGUGGUGGUGAAGAGGCUGAAAGAUGUUGUGGUGACAAAAAAGGAAUUCGAGAUGCAAAUGGAAGUUCUGGGGAAGAUUAAGCACGAUAAUGUGGUGCCUCUCAGAGCCUUUUACUUCUCCAAGGACGAGAAAUUGCUCGUUUACGAUUACAUGUCUGCAGGCAGCUUGUCUGCUCUCCUUCACGGUACCAUCUUGUUCUUAUCCAACACCUCCCCAAUUCCUUUUCUGCUUGUUCAUUUUUCUUUCCUGCUUAAUUGUGUUCGUAGCUAAUUAUUGAACUCAAAUGCAAUGCAAUUUGAUUGUUAUAGUUUAGGAACACCAUAUUUAGUUUGCUCUUGCCUUUCCGGCUUUUCCUUGUGUUCAUACGGGAAUUGAAUAUUCUUUGUUUGAUAGAAUUGGGGUUGUUUGUUUUUUAUGAGUAUUUAAUUUGGCUGAAUUCCUACACCAGCUGUUGUAGUCGUGGAAAUCCAUUAUUUUAUUUGAGGGUUCCUUGUUGCUGUUAUUGCCGUGAAGGUGGCAUAAUGGAGGUGGGUUAUACUUAGUAGUCUCUGUGUUAUUUCUAACUGCAUUAUGUAUGAGUGUCAUGAUAAUUAUAUUAAUUUACUAAUGGGGAAAAUAGUUUAAUAGGAAGAGUGUUAUUGUAAGUGUAUCGUAAAUGGGAAGUUUUGUGCAGCAGCAGCGUAGAGUGCGCUUGUUUAAUGCAUGCUUCAGGAGCAAACAUUCUCUACUCAUGAGUGAUAUUGUCUUUCUUUAAUUUUGCCAUUCCUUCAUUUCCCAUAAGCCAAGCAACAUGCACUCAUGGGAUACCAGCGUGGCUCACCGACAUUAUUUCUGUCUUUCUUUUUUUCUUCCAUUUUUUUUGUCUCCUUUAAAAAGAGAAAAGAUUGAAAAAUAAAGUGUUCUAUAUAUUCCUCCUCCUCCCAACGAAGAAUAGAAAGGCAUUUGGACCACGACCAUGCUGCUUUUUGCUUUUGAAAGGGUUGUUCAGUCCAAGCAAAAGAAAAAUCCCACAAACCACAACCUCCUUUCCUCCAUGCUUGUGUCUUGAAACAGUUAAUUUUUGCGAUUUUAUGAAAUUAUUGCAUGGUGAUAUGAUACAUGACUAAAACGGGAAAUAAAGAGAGCAUGAUUAUUAUUAAUAAAUUAAUAAUUAUAUAUAUAUUUUUUUGUGUGUGUGUGUAAUAGUAUCAUAGAUAGAUAGGGAUUGGGGGAGUGGAGUGGAUUGUUGAUGACAAUUACUUGACUAACUACAUUAGCACUGGUAUUGAUAUUGCAGGGAGCAGAGGGUCUGGGAGAACACCACUGGACUGGGACAGCAGAAUGAAAAUAGCAGUAGGAGCAGCACGGGGUUUGGCAUGCCUCCACGUGGCAGGCAAGGUGGUCCACGGCAACAUAAAAUCUUCCAACAUCCUCCUCCGAGGGCCGGACCACGAUGCCGGCGUUUCGGACUUUGGUCUAAACCCCUUGUUCGGGAACGGAGCCCCGUCGAACCGAGUGGCGGGUUACCGGGCACCCGAGGUGGUCGAAACUCGAAAGGUGAGCUUCAAGUCUGACGUGUACAGCUUUGGCGUCUUGCUGUUGGAGCUUCUGACGGGGAAAGCUCCGAACCAAGCGUCUCUUGGGGAAGAGGGCAUCGACCUCCCGAGGUGGGUCCAGUCGGUGGUGCGCGAAGAGUGGACCGCGGAGGUGUUCGACGCGGAGCUCAUGAGGUAUCACAACAUCGAGGAAGAGAUGGUUCAGCUCUUGCAAAUAGCCAUGGCGUGUGUUGCGGUGGUGCCUGACCAGAGGCCCAGCAUGCAGGAGGUGGUGCGCAUGAUCGAGGACAUCAACCGGGGCGAGACCGACGACGGCUUGCGUCAGUCCUCCGAUGACCCUUCUAAAGGAUCUGAGGGUCACACUCCUCCCCCGGAGUCAAGGACUCCGAGGUCACUCACACCUUAACAAAAGUAAUAAAGGCUUCUUGAUUGAAUGAAAUUCAAAAAGAGGAAAGAAAGGACAGCAGAAGGUGGUGGUGGGUCGCUCUUCAAAAAAUAUUGUCAAUUAUGCACUGUGCUUUCUUCCUUCCCUGGCCCCGUUCCUGUCUAUUUUCCCCCCUCUCAUGUGUUUCAUUUCAUUUUUUUUCCCCUAUUUUUCUUUUAUUAUUGAUUUUUACAGGUGGGAUUUUAAAAUUGUUAAUCAAGCUUUGACCUUUUCAUCAGAUUCUAAGUGCAAUUUACCUCAUUUCUUAAUUUAAAUUAUUUAUCAGUGUCAUGUUUUUUGUCAAAAUGGAGGUUAUCUUUUUCAUUUCGUCUUCACAUUACUGUCGUAUGAUACCACGUCAGCAAGUGCGUUCUUUUUUUGACCUAGCGACGAUAGCAGUUGUUACAGAAUGAUUGCAAAAAUUAUGUAUCCACCACGUCAGUUGAUUUGGAUGACGCAGAGAGUGUAAAGGUAGGUUUGGACGAAGAAGAUUAUGAAUAAAAUGAGCAUUUGAGGGGAAUGAAUGGAGGAGGCGCGGUUGUGGAGUGGUGGUCCGAAUUGAUGUCUUAGGAAACUGACAUGGGCACCGGGAUUGGUGGGAAAGAGAAAUAGAGUGAGCAUGAGAUGGUUACCCUCGGUGUCCAUUUGUGAGGAAAAGGGUGGAAAACAGGCUGGCCUUGUGGAGUGGGCGAUAGUUAGUGUGUGUGUGUGUGUGUUGGCAGUUCUGACAUAUAAACAAGAGGCUUUGACCCAACCAUGCAUUCCGCUGUGGACCAUUUUCCUUUAUUUUUUAAAUAAUCUUUUACCAUCAAUCACUGGUUACUUGGAUCCAUGAAAGGAAGAACUGUUGAGUUUUCUGAUUCCACUGUAUGUAGGCAAGCAAACCGUACGCGCUCAUGCCUCCUCAUACUUUGCUCCUUCGCUUUCCGUUCACGUUCAGACCUUCCAAAAAUCCUUGUCCUUUUCUGGAUCUGUAAAUAAUUGCAUACACAUUAUGAAUGAAUUUAAUGUUAUUUUUAUGUUUGUACUCUCUAUAUGUAAACUGAGGUUUCUUCAGUUGUAAAUUUCAAGCGAGUGAGGCUAGAUUUGUUUUUAUUGAAAUUGGACUAAGUUCGCACAGUAUUAACUUCAACAUUUUCAUUACAAAAGUCAAGACUUUUUUUAUUGAUACGGUUCUUAAGAGACCCAUAUGUCACUCAAAUUUGAACGGAGUUUCUGUAUCAGUUCUAGAAACUUCCAGUUAAGAUGUAGUAUAAAAAUAAAUUAUUUUCUUUUUAAGAAGUCCUUGCUUACCUUUUGGUUAAAUUAUCAUUCAAAUGGAUAAGGGCCGGCGAAGAAAAAGUGUCAUGCGAAAUGGCCGAUCAUGAAACAGGGAAACAACUGAGAAAAGGAAUAUUUUAAAAAUGAAGAAAUAAGCUAAAUUAAAUAUACGUUAGAGAAUCCCUGUCUGUCGAAGUUAGUGGUAUUAUUUUUGCGGUUAAUACAAGAAAAAAGUACGUCUAUUGAUAAUUUGGAUUGUAUAAAACGAAAAAGCCAUUGGUAGGAUCACAGCAUUGGAUGCACACUUCUUCAAUUUCCUUGGAAACCACUUUAACUAUUCAAAUUCUAUGAUUAGCGUAAAGUCCUUUCACGUAAUUCAUUACUAAUUGCCGUUUUUGUCGGUUUCACAGUAAAAAAAAAAAAAAAACACUUUUAGAAACUCCUAGGGUUAGUUUUGCCUUUUGAGUGAUAAAGUGUGAACAACCAAAUGAGCCCACAAAAAGUGUAAGGUACAACCUUUUUCUCUUUUUACUUUAGUUUGGCAUUGUUGCCAUCCUUGUAUAGAAGAAUUUGCUUAGGUUGUUGUCUGAGUUCUAAGACAUUAUUUUGUGUCAAUGUUAUAAUGAGUUUUAAUUAUCUCAUCACUGAUUUAUUGAUCCUUAUGACAACAUGGACAUGAGUUAUAUGAAAAAAAAUAUAUAAAAAUGAUACACUUCAUUCUUCAUUAUCGUUAAUAAUAAGAUUUUAAAGGUGGAGAAAAGUAAAUAAACAAUAAGUAUGUAAUUUUAUCCUAUUAAUUAAUUGAUUUUGAAAAUGAAUACAUUAAUUAUUUGACAGACAUUGAGGUAAUGAUGGUUUGAAUGUUUGGGAAAGUAUUAGUAGAAGGAAAUAUAUAAGUGUUGAAAGGAAAUCCUCUUUAGUUGGUUAGAAAAGAGAAGGCUUAUUAUAUGGAAUGUGUGAGAUGAUUAUGAGAAAAAACAUUUAUUAGUCUUAACAAGCAAACUUUAAAGACGUAGAUGUUUUUGAGGAUGUUCAGAACAAAACCAGAAAGGCAAUCAUUCUGACACAGAAUAAAAAGGAAUUUAAAAUAUUUAGAAGAUGAUUGCCAGGCUGUGAGGUUUUCUUGCACAUGAAAGAACCUACUCCCUGAAAUUAUUGGUGGUCACUAAACACACUUUAAUAAUAGUAAAUAAUGUAGGAAAAAGAGAUUUUACUUCAUUCGGAAAUGCCAAAUGGAUUUUCAUCCUUUCAUCCUUUCAUCCUUUCAAACAUAUAUUUUCUAUUAUGAGGAAUUAGAUAUAUAUCAUGUCUCAAAAGUUGCCAAAUAAAUUACACAUCUUCAACUUUGGCACAUAUAGGAUCCUUUUUAUUUUCAAAUCUUUUACUCAAAACUUCAUCAAACGUGCUACAUCAUAUCUCAUGUAUAAUUUUUUCUUCUAUUUUCAACAAUUUUUAAUUAUAUAAAUAAUUUUUUAAUUUAGUGAGUUACUAAAUUAGAAAUGUUACAAUUUUAAAUAUAACGGAUAAAUUAAUCUAAAAUGAAUAUGAUUCUUAUUUGUAGAGACAAAAACAUAUUAUUCUUAAUAUUUUCUUUUUAUUUUAUCAGAAGAGAAAUCCAUAAAAGAAUUUAGUGUGUUCUACAUUGUUAAUUUUAUUUUCAUCGUUUCCAAUGUUUCGAUAUUCUAUUUUCUUAGAAAACAAAUCUAUAAAAGAAUCUAAAAUACUGUAGAUUUGGAAAAUCAAAUAUUCAUUACUAAUUUCAUCACAGACAUUGCUUCCAUUGACAAAUUUAAGUAUGUUUACAUUACUAUUAUUUUUUAUCUUGAAUUGGAGAAUGAUUCAUAAAGACUAAUAUUUGAUUAUGCUAUAAUUUUAGUUAUAUAUGAAAAGUAUAUUCUGAUCUUAUUUAUUAGUAUCAAACUAUGUAUUAUUAGAUUUAUGAUUCUUUUCUUAUGACAGUUUUUUUCUAAGUUAAUUAAAGUUCUUUCUAAAUUAAUUAAAGUUUUUUCUCAGAUGGGUAUAACCUAAUUAUGAAAUUUAGGGAUUUUAAUUUUAUUGAAACUUAAUAAUGAAUUAUAGUUUUUCGUUGCCUAAAAAAUUGUAUUGGAUGAUGUUUUGCUGCAUGCGCGUGAGUCAACAGGAAUUUAAUGUCUUAGUUUUGCAAUAAUAUAAUUGGAUUAUUGGUUUUAUUUCCUGGUGUACAUGAAUUGCAUGCCACUGGAAGUUAAUUGCAAUAUAAAAGACUUUGAAUUUAUAACCUUUCUUGUUACUUAAAUAAAUUAUCAGUAUAUGUAAUUGAAUUUGAUUUGUAAUAUAUAAGGGUUCAAAAUUUGGUAGUUUAACUUUUUUUAGUUAAGGGAAUGAAGAAGUCAUCAAAAUGGCUUUUUUUUAAGUAGAUUGGUUAUGAAAAAUGUUAAAGGUUUGUUUUUAUGUUUAUUUUUACUAAAUAUUGAUCGAUCUAAAAGUAAACACGUGAUAAUUAUGAGAUUAUUUUUCUAAAUCAAUUUAAAGAUGAGUUUAUUGUAAGACAUGUUUUGUUACUAAUAUUUGAUUAUUGCAAAAGAUAUUUUUAAAAAUUAAUAUUAUUGUCCAAAAAUUUGAUAUUAAUGGUGGACAAGGUAUUUUGAAACAAGUUAUACUAUUAUUUUAAUAUAUUGACAAUGAUUAUUGUUUUUAUGAUGUGAGUUUAAUUAUAUUAUUUGUCUUGAUCUAAAUUCAAUUACUAUUACUUUAAUAUUUGUUAAUUUGAAUUUUGUUUCGAUUCUUAAUAGAAUAAAUUUUAAGAACUAGAAAGAGAACAUUGAAAAAUUUCUCGAUUGCAUGGAUCUUGACCGUGUACUAAGGAUUGAGAAACAUACUUCUCCUACCAACUCUAGGACCUUUGAAGAAAGGAUAAAUUAUGAGAAGUGAGAUUGCUCAAAUCACAUGAGUCUUAUGAUCAUCAAGCGUGACAUUCCUCAAAACUUUAGGGAUAUUAUAUAUGAAGAGAUAACAAGUGUCAAAGAUUUCUUUGUUGAAAUUGAAAAGUGUUUUGCAAGGAAAGAUAUGUUUCUUACUUUCAUGCCAAUUUAACUACACUACUUAGAAACACUUGGUGAUUAAAUUUUGGUGUCAUUACUAACAUUAGUCUUUUAAUAUGGGUUGUCGAAACUACCAUAAGCCAAUUGAUUCUAAAAGAUGGAUAUAUUUUAAAAAAGGCAAAUCGAUGAAGAUGAAAGUUAUAGAACAUUUUAUGCACUGGUUUUUAUUUGUAUUUGAAACACUUAUGUUGUACCGUCAUUUAGAUGGAAUUUGGUUUUAGUUUCUUAUUUGGACAAAUUUGUGUUAUUUCUGUUCAUUUGGAACUAGUUCAAUUUUGACUCAUGAUAAUUUAUAUAUAUUUGGUACUGUAAUUUCUUAUAGUGAAUCUUUAAAUAUGGAAUCAUGUGGUACUUAGUGAAAAAUUGACAAUACUAGCCCAUAAUUUUUUUGGCAAAAAGCAUCUAGGUCACAUCUUUAAAAAUAGAGUUGAACAAACUUAUUUAUGAUGGAUUAUUGGAUUUCAUUGACUUCACAAAUUUUUAUGUUUGUAUUACAUAUGUUAAAGGUAGUCGGACCAAAUUAAAGAAAUUAAAUUCAUAUAGAAUUAUAUAUGUCUUCCAAUUGAUACAUGCGUAUAUUUGUGAGUCAUUCUCUACAUCAUCAUAGAAUGAUUAACAAUAUGAAAUAUAUUUUGACUCAUCCAACCUAAAAUAAUAUCAUGCAAAAUUAAAAUUUUUUAAGCUUUUGAAAUGAUUAUGUUGUGAAUUGGAUAAGUAGAAUUUCAAAUAAGACUAGAUAUAUUUGUAAUUUGUAAAUUUACAAGUAAAAUUGGAAUUUGUUUGUGUUAAAUUUGAUACAAUUUUAUCUCAAACUUUAAAAAUAAUAAAUAUAUUGUUUUGAAAUCUUUUUAUAAUAUGUGCAAAUUAUUCAUAAUCAACUCAUGUAUAUAUACUUGUGUGUAUUUGUUCUGCGUAUAAAAUCUCUUGCUCUAAAUUAUUGUCCUGAUCUAGUGCUUGGUAUGUACAAGCUCACACAUGAAGAUGAAAGUUCUCAAACUGCCACAUGCUGAGGAAAAUUCUCAAUAAUAAGGAACACUGGGCUCUGCAUAAUAUAUUUGUUUUAUAUAAUUAACUACACGAUUCGAAUAUAUUAUCUGAAUAUAUAUAUAUAUAUAUAUAUAUAUAUUUUGAUAACUUUUUGACAAGUAUACCAAAUCGUUAUAAGUAAUACAGUGAUAAGUAAAGUAUCGUUCUCCCAAGGGACUUGUGCAACAGAUGACAAUUCUUCCUUUUAUAACUCAAUUAGACAUCAAAAUACACAAAACAAUACAAGAAACACAGUUGGUGUGUCAGGAAUUGGUCUUUGACUAACAUUACAGUAACAUCCUGGAUAAAAUAAGUUCUCUAUUCAAGCAUUCACAUAAGCGUAUCUUGAUUUAAUUCCUUAAAGCAAGUUCUAAAAUUAUCUAUUAAAUUAUUAAUUCCUUAAUUAAUUNNNNNAGCUAUUCCUAGCAUCGUUCCUUUUAGUUUCUUUUCUUACGUUUCUGGUUCUAAAAAUACUUCCCAGUACAAAAGAACCUUUAAAAAGAAUUAUACUUCCGUAUAAUCUAAAGCAAGUCAAGAAAAGAACAAGAACANAGACAUAUAUUGCACAGGAAAUUUACAUUAAUGUAUUGUCAUACAACCAAUUCCAAAGAACAGAAAAACUAGNCUCUCCUAGACAUCUAAAACGUACUCUUUACAGCAAUUCCUUGCAGAAAGUGAAGUCUUGAUGUCUUGAAGGGUCUCCUGACGGUCUUCUCCAGUUCUCCAGAGCGUUUUUCUAUUUUUCGUGUCAGGAGAUCCAGAGCGUUUUUCUAUUUUUCGUGUCAGGAGAUCGUUUCUGCCUUUUCUGUCACGUCUUUUAGGAGCCACUUGACUUCCUUAACUCGCUCAGCGCACAAGAGUGUGUACGCUGUGCGAAUUUAUUUUAAUUGUUGCAAUGUUAUUAGCUGAGUGCACAAGUAUGUUUGCGCUAAGCAAAUUUCAAAAUUUCCUUUUUUUCAACUUCUCUUAUUCGCUCAGCGCACAAGUCUUGGUGCACUGUGCGAAUCUAUUUUUUCUGGCUCUGCGAAUUUGGCUUGCGCUCUGUGAGAAUUGGUUGACAUAUUUCCAUUUAUACAUCUUUUCCUGCAUAAUAAUUUACGUAACAAUCUACUUCCUAUUACAACAUUUCACUGAGUAAUAACAUGAAUAAUUACAAAAUUGAGAUCAUUUAUAAGUGUAAAAAUAACUCAUUUUCACACUUAUCAUAUAUAUAUAUAUAUAUAUAUAUAUAUAUAUAUAUAAUUGCUGCUAUGUAUAUACAACCCAUUAAGAAAAGAAAACAUCUCUGCAAAUUAAAAAAAUGUAAAGGUUCUAAUAAUUCACAACCGUUUCAUUUUAUAUAAUAAUUUUAUUUUUUAUUAAUUAUUUAAUUUCUAUUUUAUUAUGAACAUAUAAUUACUUUUCUUUUGUACAAUCACUAUUCUUAUUUCUUACUUUAUUUUUCUUGAUUUAUUUAUGAUUUUAAUUAGAAAUGAGAACAUUCUCCUUUUUUUUUUUAAUCAUUCCAUAAUCAAGUCAAAUAUGAACUCUAUUUCAAAUUCCUUUAUGCAAACAUCAAAGUUGAAAAAAAGACGAAAAUUGAAAUAAAAAAUAAAAUCGUUUAAAUUAGAUAAAAAGUAGAAAUUAAAUAAAAAACUUAAUGUUUUUUUAUUAUGUACAAUUUUAUUACUUAUUAUUUUUAUUAUUUUUAUUAUAAAUUUAUUAUUAAAAAAUGUAUUCUUAAAUAUCAAAUAAUAUAUCUUAAUUGAUUGGUAUGUCAUAAUGGAUCAUAAGUGUCUCAUAAUCAAUUAUGAGUUAAAUGUAUAUAAUUAAUCUACGUAAUUAUUUACAAUUUUUUUCCUAUAUCAACACAGAAAAAAAAAAACUUAUUUCUUCUUUUUUCUUUUGUUUUCAUACAUAUAAUUCCUUAAAGCAACGAUGCUUACAUUCGUAUCAAACGUGUUACUAAUGUGAUAAAGUGAAAAAGUUAUCACAAUCUUUUCAAAAGAGAAUUGAAAUUAAUUCAUAUAUAUUAAGAUGAUAACCAUAAUAUGGAAAGGGACAUUUUUUCUAAGAUGUGACUUAUAAUUUUCAUGUUGACUUUUUGGUGUUUUACAUUGAGAAUUUCCAUUGGCACUAUUAUUCUCUUAUGUUUUCUUAAUUAAUAUCUAUUUUAACUCACAUAAAACAGGAAAAUAAUAAUUAAUGAAAUUAAAACCUUUAUGCAAACAUCACAUGAAAUUAAUGGAAGGGUGUUUAUCUAACAGAGAACGGGUGUCUCUAAAAUAUUAAUGGGAGUGGAAAAAGAAAUAUAAAGUCCAAGUCUCGAUUAUAUCUGAUGGCCCUCACUUUGUCCUGUUUUUUUUUAGUUGGCCCAUACCAAUUCAGUUUGGAUCCACUUCAAAUAUCUCUCCAUCAAUUAACUUUAAUCAGUCAAAGUUUAAAUUUAUCUUCAAGCAUUCCUGAAGAACAAACAAAUAAAAGAUAACAUAAGAUAUAUAUUAAUAAUCAUUUAAAUACGCAAUUGUGUAAUAAACCUCCUGAGUAGAAUGUAUAGGGAAAAGUAUUUUCAAAUAUAAAUAAUUCUUUUAACACUCUUAUCAGAUAAAAAUUCAUACGAAACUUGUUAUGAGAUAUUUGGAAACACUUCAGUACAGCUUACUUCAACUCAAACAAAUACUAUAUAACAUUUAAAAGAAAAAAAAAAAGAGACAUUUACUUUUUCCAAAAUAAACCAUUUAAUCUUGUUCGAAUAAGAAUAGGUCUAUAAUCCUCGUUCUAGUUGCUCUUACAUAAUUUUUUUUUGUAAUUACCAAAUAUAACAUAUAUUACAAACCUUAUUUUUAAGAUAUUAAAUAUACGUAGUUUCUCAUUUAAUUUUUUUAAUAAAUAUCGAUAAAUUUUCUUACAAUUUUUAUGGAGGCAUCAACCCCAGUGUAAUAAGCUUACCCUUAAAUGAGAUUCAAUAAAAAUAGAUGUAAGAUUAUGAGUGGUUAAUAUGUAUAUAAAUUUGUGGUUAACUUUUUGUGAGCUAGUGGCAUCUAAGGAUAGAGUAUAUAUGAAGUGCUUUUAUCUGAAUAAUAACCUAAUCUUAUUCAUAUGAACAGCUAUGAAAAGCGCAUCGAUGAAUGCAGAAAACGUAGCUAAAUUCAAAGGAUACAUGAACUUCCGUAGAAAAACUGAACCUCAUAAGUGCAGAAUUUAGUGUUUGACAAGGAUGUUUGACGUAGGUAGUUAUAGUUUACUUUGUGUUGACACAUCAAUAAUGGCGAGUCAACAUUUAUUUUAUCGCAGUGUUCAAAAUUCCAGUCUUCGCCAACACUCUGAGUUAUAGUGUAUAGCUUUAUCUCUUUACAACAAGUUCAUCUUUUCAAUAGAGGCCGACCAACGUGAUUCUAUUCCAUCCUCCACUCUCUCUUAUGCUUCAGAGAUGCUAUAAUUAAUAUAUUUUUCUUUUUCUGUAUAAUAUUAAUAUGCAAAUUUAUUCUAAUCUAUGGUCAAACUCAGUGCUGAUUUCUAUGUUGAAGUAUCCUUGCUGUCUCAUAAAUAUAUUAUAUUCAUAAUCGCUUAAACUGAUUAUACUAUGAAUUGAGGUUAAACUGAUGAUGAGAUUAUUAAGAUAAAGGAGGGUUGAAGAUGAAGCAUGCAGAAAGUUAUAUUAGAAGUGGAGUUUAAGUCUAACUCAACUCCACAAAACCAGCCACAAAAUCAGCUUGUAAGGUGAGAUUUGCACCUCACUUGUAUAUUAUAAAUUGGACUUAUCUCAAGUCGAUGUGAGACUUCCAAAUAAAUGAAAAUUGAAUUGAAUUAUUUUUAUUGGAUGCUUAAAAGUGAUGAGAAUCUAUCCUGAAUGAAAAUUUAGAAUAUUUAGUAGCAUAAUCCUGUUGGUAAUAUACUUUUAAUUUAAUCAACAACUUCAGUCCUCACUCAUUCUCAUCUCAUAUCAUAUAUAUGCAAAUUCCUUCCACCCGUGGACGUACCUUUCCUCCGCUUUCCGCAAAGCCCACCACAGAAUAAUUUUUUUUUUUUUUUAUGAAUAAUAAUAAUAAUGUUUACUUAAACUACGUUAUUCGUUUUUCCCUUUAUAAUGCCAUCUUUUUAUCCAACUUUAACAGAAUUUUCAAAAUGAAUUUCAUGGUCAUUCGAUGACUGUAUUGCAUGAACUGCAACCUUUUAUUCACAGUUGGAUUCACACCAAUAGAAUAUCUUAUUUCAUAAAUAGUCAUUCGUUUUAUUGAAGUAUCUUAGACAAAACUAGGUGUUCGUGCAUUUGCAUUUUUAAUUUGUUUCGCUAAUUAACUAAUUUUUUAGCAUGCCUAUUUCUUAUGAAAAUUACUUCUCAAAGUUUUUUUUCAUGAAUAAUAAAAAUUUUACUUUAUAAAAAAAAUAUUAUUGUUUGUCGAAACUAUUAUGUUAUUCAUUAUAAAAAGUUUACUAUGUGUUGAUUUUAUCGUAUUAUUAUUAUUAUCAAUAGUGAAUAUCUAAUUUCAUCCUCAAACUUAAGCAAAGAUUAGAGAAAGGGUAAAAUUAUUGUCAUCGAAACUUGAACAUAGACUUUUCUAUUAAAAUUCUCCUCCAACCUUAGACUAAAAGAAAACGAAAAUGAUAAUAAAUAAAGCAAAGUUGAAAGUUCAAUAUUCGAAAUUAAAAUAAGUAGAGAAAAAAGCGUGUCGGGUACACUACAUCUGAACUAGGGUGGGUUUCAACUUAUAAUAUUGUGGUUAAUUUAAUUAAAGCUAAAGUUUUUAUUUUGUAUGCUUGCCUGCAUAGUGGGUGUAGAAAGGAAAUCAUAAAUUAUAAGCAAUGCAAAGUUCUGUUAUUCUGCUUACCAUUUUAAGCUUAUGUUUGCAAUAAUUCUCAACAAAAGGUACUCAUAAUCCUUUCAUGCAGAAAAUUUAUUAGUUAUAUAAAGUUUUUAAGAAAAAUGUCAGUCCAAAUUUAUUUAGAUCAUCAUUUUCUUUUUAAGUUAAUAUAAUUUUUUUCUUAAUAUUAUUUUAUACAGAACUCAGUUCUUUUUUUUUUUCUACUUUUGCUCACAAUUUGAUUUGGAAGGUGACUUUUAGAAUUAAAACAUUAAGAAAAAAAACUUUUUAGAGUUUUACAUAUUUUGUGAAACUCUUUUAAGAAUAUUAAAUGAUAUUUUACAGUAUCUGUAAAAAAAAUCACAAUAAAAAAAAAUAUUUUUUUUACAUUUUUUAAAAAUGUUUGAAAAAAAAGGUCCUGGGAAAUAUAAAAAAUUCCACUGAUAAGAACACCUCCGAUAAAUUUGAAAAUUAUCUUCAGACUCAACAAUGAAAUUGACGAAAUUAAUAAGGAAAAAGUAAGAAUAAAAGAGGGAGGAUUUGUAACAUACUUUUUAAUUGUUAAUUGAAAUAACAAUAAAUAAAGUCAUUAGUUUAAAAGUAAGAUUUAUAGUGUAUAGUAAACUUUAAUUAAUUAAUUAAUAAUAAAUAUGUAAUUAAAAGAUUCUGUUGGUAAUAUAGGCAGUGGUGAAGAUAAUUGGAGGAAUAUGAGAAAAAGAUGUGAUAGAAAGUUAUAUAGAGUUGGAGAAAUAGAAGGAGGCUCUAAUUGUUAUGGACCACUGUGUUUGGGCUUCCACGGACCCAAAUUAGCGCGUAGGAUUCAAGAAUUUAGUAAAGAAUCUUCACGAUUCAGUGAAACAAUACAUAAUGUAAAAAUUAAGUUUUAAAAGCAUUGAGUUCGAAAAAAAAAAAUAUUUUUAAUUCAUCAUGAUAUUAGUAGUCAUUAUAAUUAAGAGUUACAUUAAAUGAAUGUAAAAAUAUUGUCUUCUUGAUAAAGACUUAAAGAAUGAUAUUUAUAUUGACUAAUCAAUAAAAUUCUUGAUUGAAGGGGAAAAAAUGGCGUGCAAAUUAAAAAAUAAUAAUAAUCUAUAUACAAAUUUAAGAAAACUGGUAGCAGUAAUACUUUUUAAGUUUAGUUAUACCAUUAUAUUAUUUUCUUUAUGUUCAAGGGCAAAAUUUCAUAUCAAUAUAUAGACCUGUGUGUAAGGCUUCAUGAAAUAUGACUUGCAACUAAUAAUAUUGUUUUCUUGCGUAAUCGAAUGUAACUAAUAAUUUAGUCAGUUUUAAUAUGCAUUAUAUUUGUUUGAUAUGCAAUGUCAUAUUAAUGAAAUGGAACAUUGUAAUUUUAUAGUAUCUCAUACGAUACGAGGGGUGUGUUUUCAAGCAACAGCAAUAGAAUAAAUAACGACUAAAUUGUAUAAAUGGGUUAAAGUGUAAUUGAAAAUAUAUAAUUAUUAUUUGAUUGGAGUAAUAAUUUCAAAGGAAUGCAAAAUAAUAUCUUUUAUAAAUAAGAAAGCCAUAAAAAAAGAGAAAAAGAAAUGAAAACUUAUUUUAUUUUGUCUUUUGUCUUGAAUAGUAAUCUUUCAUUGGAGAGAUAUUUUGUAAGGUGGAUAAAAAGUGAUAGUUGAGCCAUAAUGUUCCAAUGGAAUAGUUGAAGAAUUAUUAGGCUAAAAUCUCUAAAUAGAGGAACAAUUUUCACAUUCUAUCGAAUACAUCACGUGUGGCGAGCAGGUUAGAAAACUUUAGUUUGACAAGUUAGAUUCCAUUUUUGGUUGUUUGAAUGCAAAUAUAGCUCACAACAUGUGUGCAAACUUAAUCCUAAUAAUUUUUUUAAGUGAAAUUCUUUAAAUUAAUUUUAUCUGGUUAAAAAAAUAAGUAAAUUUUAAUUAACAAUUUAAUUUUUUGUUUGUGGUUUAAUUUUAGAAUUAAGAAAAUGUUAAAAUAAGUGAAAAGAAAUUAGGACAAUAAUAAGAAAAGAAUAUGGUGAAAACGGCAGAAGGGAGGAAUAUUCUGACAGGUACUGCAAAUGGGCCACGUAAAAGGGAUAUUCAGAAGAAGGACGAUAGGAAAGAAUAUUAUGGACACGCGUCUCGAGGACAAUAAUCAUAAUAAUAAUAUUAUUUGUUUUCUUUUGUUUUUGUGAAGAGAGAAAAAUAAAAGAAAUAAAAGGAAGAAUCCGAAGAAAAGGUGUGAGUUGGAGUUUAGCUUGUAGAAGAAGAGUGAAUUUAGAAAGCAACCAACCAUUUUUAUUGAAAGCUGGUGGAAUUUGAUGCAAUCUUCCUCUCACUUUCACACCCACACUCUUUUCCCUUUUAUUUUUUAUUUUUUAAAUUCAAAAUCUCAUAAUCUUUUGUUGGUGUAUUCCAUGAACCAUGAGAUGUAAACAUUUCAUUUUUUAACUCACUUAAAUAGUAUUCACACACACACACUGACACUGUAAGACAAUGUUGCAUAUUCUUUUUUCAAUAUAUUAUGCUACUUAUUUAAACUAUUAUUUUUAAAAAUAUAUUUUAAAAUGUUUGAACUAUACACACUCAUCUAUACUAUUAUAUACAGAGAUAUUUUCUUUAAUUUUACCUUUUAAAAAGCAAUUUUUCUUUUAAAUUAUAUAUCCCACCAAUUUUACAUUUUAAAUUAUCUGUUUUUUAAAUUUAAUCAUUUGUUUUUUUUAAUUUAACCAUUUUUUUAAACUAAAAUAACUAUUUAUAACAAAAAAACUUACAAAAUACAUAAAAAUUAUCCACAAAAAAAUUAUAAACAUUAUCUGUAUUUAUUUUUAUAAUUAGAAGUUUAUUAAUUUUUAUUAUCAUUAAAAAAAUGUAAAUAUCCAUAUGCAUAAUGUAUGCGUUUUAACUAUUUAAUAUAAUAAAAAUAUCAUCGAUAAGUACGUUCUUUUUAUUUAAUUUUAAAUUUGUUUGGAAAUAGUAAAAUACCAUAGUGAAAACAAAAAACCAGAAAUAAUUUAUAUAAAACAAUAAAAAGAGAGCUUAUUAAAUAAAUGUGUUUUAAAAUACUGAUAAGAUUAUUUAUAAAAUAUUAUAAUAACAACAUAAAACCAAAAUUUUGAACAAACUAAAAAGGUUAAAAAUCACCAAAAAUAACCUGCCAAUUAUCUAUUGCAAUAUAUAAAACUUGAAAGACAAAUUAUGACAUGUUAAUCCAACUUAUUUUAUUUUUGUCUUUUGCAUUACUUAUUUUCUUACUUUGUUUUGAUCAUCCAUUUUAAUUUCUUUAAAAUUUUGAACAAUUAAUAUAAAUAUAAUCUCACAAGCUUUACUUUGAAUACAUCUAUUUCAUUGACUUACAUUAGGAAGUUCAAAUAAGCAUCAUAUACUCAUUGAAACUAUUCCGAACACUUAUAAAAUUCUGAUUUAUUUUAUAAGAUAUAUAAAAUAAAAAUUGACUAAGUUGUUUUGACUUUCUACAAUUUACAAUUAAGUGGCUUAUAAUAAUUUAUCAUUAAUAUUACGUGAAAGUCUCAAAUGAAUAAGUUUGAUAGAUGCUUAAGGAAUUGUUAAGAGAAUAAUGUAAUGAAAUAUUAUAGUAUAUAAGAAAAACUAUCAUAACCAAAAAUGCAAAUAAUACAUAUGUUUAUUAUCACUUUAUCGCUAGAUCAAACUCACAUGAAACUUUAAGUAAUAAGAGAACAGCGAGAUUAGUAUAUAUAUUUUUGUAAUUUAAAAUUAUAUAUCUGUUUUUAUAUUAUAUAGUUUGAUAAGAAAAUUAUAUAGUAGAUAGAGAAGAUUUUAUGAAAAAAGUAGAGUUUAAUUUGAUUGUUUACGAGAAACCGGGAAAGAAUGAAGUGAGCCAAUGAACCAUAUGAAUUAAAGAAGUUUUGAAAAAUCCUAAUGUGUUUUUCAUUUGAAUGAAUUUGAGGAAGAGUAAUCGAGAAGAUUUGAUGAUAAAUUUUUUUGUUAUUUAUUUGAAUAAAUUUGGAGGUAAGUGAGAGUGAAUUUGGAAAUAAAUUUUUUUAAUCUGUCAUAUAAAUUAAAUCAUACACUAAUUUUUACAAAUUUUACUUCCAAAUCUACUCCCACUUACCUUCAAAUCUAUUCAAAUAAACUAAAAAUAAUUAUUUUCAAAUUCUCUCAAAUCUUUUCAAUUACUCUUUUUUAAAUUCACUCAAGUAAACAAGAGAUGAGUAACGUGGCUUUGUAAGAAAAAUAAGGAAAAUUGGUUUAACAUGGAAAAGAGAAUCUUCUUAGCUUCUUACCCACUUCAUUAAAGAUGGUAGCAGAAGAAGAUUCUCGUCUGCUAGGCUCCUUUAUCACUCUUUUAGAGCAUGAUUUUAUUUUUCUUCCCUUUAAGCUUAGUGGGUUGUGUUCCCUUAAUUUAGAGUCGCAGAAUUGGAACUAAGAUAUUCCUUUCUUGGAGCCAAAUAUUUUAUUCUGUAUAGUGAGUGUCUAGUUUUUUAGAUUAGAUAUUCCUCCCCUUCCCUCAAUGCACUCCAAUUCAUCACAAUUAUGCAACUUUUGGACUCAAAGAGAAAGUUGCAAGCUAGUUUGAUACUAAACACCUAUUUGAAUAUGUGCUUUCCCUCUCCUUCUUUCUCCCUUUCUCUUUAUUCACUGUCUUGGUAAAAAUUAUAUAUCUUCAUGGUAUAUGCUCCCCCACAAUUUAAAUUAUUUCCAUUACAGAUUCAUUCAUUUCUGCUGUAACACCAAUACCAAAGGAAAAUCUUUUUUCAUCACCUAUAUUUACCUGUACAAGAAAUACUAUUAUACAUAUUAAAUGAUAUGUCCUUUUACUUUGUAAAUGAAGAAAGUAUGACAGGAAGAAAGAUAAAAGAGCGUUAAUGAGAUUUUGAUUUGAAAUUGUUGGAGAAUCUGAGUGUUAUUUGCGCACAGGUGUAGCUAGUAUGAAAAGAAAGCGAAAAUAAAAGGAUAAAAAGAGAGAAAGGAGUAAAGAAAAAAAAAGAAUCAUCUUUUGUAUUAGUGAUUUUGAAUUCGUACAAAGAACACUGAGAGGUUCUAAAACCAGGCUCUAAGCACAUGACCCUCUAAUGUCAGACUCUCUGAUUCCUUCUAACACACCACCUCUCUCAUUUUUUUGCACUUUUUUUGCAUUGGUUCUUUGUAGGAAGUUACUUCCCUCUGCUUUAUCCCAUGCUUUUUCUUUUCUUUUCUCUCUCUCUCUCUCUUGAACCUGCUUUAUUCCCAUUGAACUCACCUCUAAAAAGAAGACGAUCCUCCCUCGAUCCUCCUUGUGUUCAGAAACAACACAACCUCCCUUUCUCUCUCUCUCUCUCGCCCCCACCAAAAACCACAAAGGAAGAAGCCAAACACGCUCUUUUGCUCUUGUUUGUUCCCACAUACCACCCUGUUCCUAUUUUGGCAUGAACAUAUUUUAAACAGUGAGUGCUUCUGAAUCAGUUGCUAUAACUAUACGUCAAAUUAGGGAAUGGCAUCACCAUCAGAACUUACUCUUGAUUGCAAGCCCCAAAGCUAUUCCUUGCUACUCAAAUCCUUUGGAGAUCAAACUGAUCAGACCUACAAGCUUGAAGAAUUCCUCUCUCGCUUAGAGGAAGAACGUCUCAAGAUUGACGCCUUCAAGCGUGAGCUUCCUCUCUGCAUGCAACUUCUCACCAACGGUACACAAUUCAAAUCAUCCUUUUAUAAAAACCUCCAAUAAAUUAAUUCAACAUUCACAAUCCUAAACCUUAAUUAAAGAUUCAAGCUUCCGAUUCUAUUUUAAAUAUACAGACACAUAGAUAAAUACAUGCAACACUAACAAAUUAACUCUUUCAGUAUUCCGUUUUCUUAUCAUUCAGAUUUUUCUAAUAAAGUCAAGUUUGCAUGUAUCAUCUUCUUCUUAUAUUACCAACAUGAAACCAUGAUUUAUAUAUUCUUCUGUGCACACCAAACAAUUCAUUAAUUACCCACGCAAUUCUUUUCAUUGGAACAGCCAUGGAGGCUUCAAGACAGCAACUUCAAGCCUUUAAAGUAAACCAUGGUGCAAAACCGGUUCUGGAAGAAUUCAUACCGAUGAAGCACUUGGCCUCAGAAAGCUCAGAGAAGGCAACAAACAUGUCUGACAAGGCAAAUUGGAUGACAUCUGCGCAACUUUGGAGCCAAGCGAGUGAAGGAGCCAAACACCAACCAACAUUAACAUCACCCAAAGAAGCUGAUAUAGGCUUCAGCAUCAGCCCCAAGCUGGCUCUGGACAACAAGCAGAGGAACGGUGGAGGAGCCUUCCUUCCAUUUUCAAAGGAAAGAAACUCCUGCCAAGGCUCCACAUUGCGGCCUCUACCUGAACUUGCCCUUGCCUCUUCGGAGAAAGAAAUGGAGGACAAGAAACGUGCAGAGGCAGAAAAGGGACUUUCGUGUCAGAAUAAGAAGGAAAAUUCUGGCAGUGAUGGAGCUGUGGUUGAUCAAGGAAAAAGUGGUAGCCCAGUUGCAUCAUCUCUUGCACAAACAACGACAACCACUUCGCAAACUCAUAGGAAAGCUAGAAGGUGCUGGUCACCAGACUUGCACCGUCGAUUUGUUAAUGCUCUCCAGAUGCUCGGUGGAUCACAAGGUAUAUAACAGUUCAAUUUAACAUAGUUAAUUGUUCCUUUGUUUGUUAACUGUAUAACUUUGAGAAAUAUUCAUUUUCUUUUCCGUCCGACAAGAAAGCGUAUUACAAAUAUAACAGAUUAGGCUGUUAUAUAUAUCUAAUUGAAAAUUAAUAUAUAUGACUAGAUUUUUAGCUUUAUAGUAUCGAUUACUUUAAAGAUUGUAAUAAAGAAAGUGAUUUCUAAUUUUUUUUCAUGGUCUUUGAAAAUGAAACUAACAGAUAAAUUAUAAGAAAAUGGGUUAUUUGAAUUUUGCAGUGAGUAAACAUGUGUGACUUUGAAUGUUUUACAGUGGCAACCCCAAAGCAGAUAAGGGAGUUGAUGAAGGUUGACGGUUUGACCAAUGAUGAAGUUAAAAGCCAUUUGCAGGUAAAUGUUUUUCUGUUCAACUCUGCUUGUAUGUUCAGACAGACAGGCACCUUUGUUGUUGCUGUACUGUUACUGUCAUUGUCAACCUGACGUACCAUUCUGCAUUCCCAAACGAACUUUUUGGAGUUUUGUUACCGUGUUCUUUUCUUUAAUCAAUUAAUUAAUGUAAAAUUCAUAAUUGCAUUUCUUAAUUAUUCUGUUAACAGAAAUAUAGGCUUCACACAAGAAGACCCAGUCCAAGUCCUCAAGCGAAUGCAGCAGCUCCACAGCUCGUGGUCCUAGGCGGAAUCUGGGUCCCACCGGAAUAUGCCACUGCGGCACACACAGCCACCCCAACUCUCUACGGCGCCCACCCAACCUCUCACGCCCCGCCGCCACACUACUGCACUGCCACUCCUGUGCCGCAAGAGUUCUACACUGCGGCGCCGCAGCAGCAGCUGCUUCCGCCUCCUCCGCCUCAUCACAACCCGUUGCACCACCUGCACAUGUACAAGGCAACGGCACACGGGCAUGGGUCGCCGGAGUCGGACGUUCCCGGCGGAGGAGAGAGGUCGGAGAGCAUUGAGGACGGGAAGUCGGAGAGUAGCAGCUGGAAGGGAGAGAGUGGGGAGAACGAAGGGGAGAGGAAAGGGAUUUGUGAAGAGAGCAAUGGGAGUGAAAUCACUCUGAAAUUCUAGGGUUUGUGAGAAAUGGUUUUAGAAUUAGGGUUUUGCUUGCAUCCUAUCCGACACUACCUAGCCAUGCAUGUUGAAGUAUUGAUUAACAAGAAUGGGAAGUAGAACAUAUUAUCCUAAGCUGUACUUUUUGCAUAUAUUUCUGUGGUAGAGGGUAAAAGAGGCAUAAAAGUGGACAUUUGUUUUGUUUUUGCUUUACCAGAUGCAAAGCAUCGAUGCUGCUAUGUAUGAGUAUAAGUGUACUACUAUGAAGGGAAGAAUUGGAUUCCUAUAAUUGGCAUUUUCUGGGUUACAAAUUUACCCUUAAGUUUCAGAUGUAAUAACAAUGUCAGCCACUAAAAGGAUUUUUUAUUUUUCCAUUGUUACUUGGGCUGUUAUGGAGAAGAAGGAACUGCUUGAAAAGAAAGAAGAACAAGAAGAGAAACACAAGUAUUGCUUUCAUUAAAUUUUUUAAAUCAAUUAACAUGUUUUUUAUUCAAAACACAUAUAAAACUUUUGCAAAUGGAUAUUUAAUUUUAUUUUUAAAUAAGGUUAUAAUUUGAGGGAAGUCAAGUUACUUUUUUCUCAAGAAUUAUAUUCACUUGGUCAUUUGUCUUUGAUCAAACCAAUUCAUUAUACUUUCUAGUUUUUAUGACAUUCAAUACAAACUCAAUAUCCAACAAUCAAGAUAAUAAUCUUACAAGAUCUUAACAAAACAUCUAGUAAAACUCAAUCACAAUCACACUUUAAUAACACACACACACACAAAAAUAAAGGUCACUUGAGAAGCUAAACUUCCAAUUAUAAAUGAGAAAUAAAAGUAGUCUUCGACGUAUUUUUCUAUAUAAAAUUUUGAAUUCAAUAAUUCAUAUAUAAAAAAAAAAACAAAAAACUCUAAGAAGUAUUUUUUUUUCAGCUGACCAAAUAACUCUAUAUUUAAAAAGUGUUCUUAUCCUUUUCAAAAUAAAUUUAAGUUAGUUUUGUAACAAGUUGAAUGAAAUAAUUAGUUGUAAAAUCUAUAGUUUUUACAUAUUAAAACGAAUUUUAAUUCAUUAAAACGUAACUAUUUGCAAAUUCACGAUAUUUUAAUAUGUUAAAGUGCACUUUUAAUUUGAUAAAUCACUUUAAAUGAUUUUAAUCAAUUAAAAUAAUAAUAAUAAUAAUAAUAAAUACAAGCGUGAAAACUUUUAGUAAUUUUAAAUUAUGUUUUUAAUCAAUAAGCAUAUGAAUCUAGUUGAUUGAGGAUUUGAGAAAUCAAUUUUUUUCUAAUUGUAUUUUCCUCUUCUUCUCCGCGAACCUUGUUCCACCUUCUUAUCGUGUUCCUCCAUUCUCCCUCCAUUACAUUGUUUCUGAAUUCAAAGUGGCAAAAGUCGUCUCCCUCAUUCGUUGAGAGCCAUACACAGAUCCCUCACAGCCAUCACUAAGCUUCGUUUAUCGCAUAGGCAGAGCUUCAUUCUUAUUGGAGGUUUCAGCAAUCUUGGUGGAGGGUUCGUCCUUCAUUUACGCUAUCAUUGGGAAGCUGGUGUUGUGACAUUAGGGUUCCAGGCUUCUUUUUCGAGGGUUCUUGGUCGAUGGCUCUUCGUGCGUGUUUGAGAGCUUCUUCGAGGGUGAGAGUCCAAAUUAUUUGCUGGCCAUGUAAAGAAUGUGGACAUUAUGUCUAUCAAUGAAUGUUAAAUGUUAAUGUUAUUAAUGUUUAUGUAACACUCUGAGUUUUUUAAUGUAUAAAUUUAUGAAAUUUUUGUUUUCUUUUUUAUGUUUAUGCAUGAAAAUUAAGAAAACAAAUUGUAUUGUUAUUAUUAUUAUUGAAAGGAUAUUCUGUUUAAAUCCACUAUGAAUUUUUUAUUAAAAAAUCAUAUUAAAGAGAAAGGGAUAAUACACAAGUAUGUGGAAGAAAAUAUGUCUAUUGAAUUAUCUGCAACUACAUGACUCUUAUUAUUUAUGUACUUUAAUUAUGAAUAAUGAUGAAACCAAUUUUUACUAAAAAAUAAAUCAUAUAAUGUUAUGAGCUCACGUCACAUGAGUCAAAAUUAAUUACCAAAUUUAUUAUAUUAUGUUACUCAUUUAAAAUUUAUGAUAAGCCUAAAUGUGAUUUAAUAAAAUGUAACGACUUAUUGUUUUCACUGAAAGUUAUAAUAAAGAUUAAAUAAAACAUACUUAUUGGUUUAUAAAAGAAUAUUAUAAUUUUGUCUCUAAUUAUAAAGUUCUUUUCACAAUAAGUUAUUAAGAAAUUGUGAGAAGAGAAAGAAAAACAAAAAAGAGAGAUUGAAAAACGCAUGACUCUAUAUCUCUCAUGGAACAAGGUUAAUAGUCUACAGUGACUUAUGUUGUGAGAAUCAUGAAUCUAAAAAUGAAUUAAGAAUUAAAAAAAUUAUGUUAAGUUAGAGAUAAAACCAGUUUAAAAUAUAUAAAUGAAUAUAAAUUUCAAUUUACAAAUUAAUUUUCUGAAAUUGAGUUAAAUUUAAAAUUAUUUUAUUAAAAUGGUAUCAAAAUAAUUUAAAACAUCUCUGAUCUAUGUUGUUUAUUAGACUUAUGUCAUUUACAAUUAUCUUAUAAAUAGAAUUAUCUUGUAAGAUUGUUUUAUAAGAUUAAAUUCAUCUUGAAUUAUUUUUUAAAAUAUUAAUUUUCCAAGUUCUAAUGCCUAAUGCGUAAUCUUUGUUUCACUUAGUUAUGGCAACCCAAUGAUAUCUGUAUUGUGGCCAAAUCGAGGCUUUAGUGUUCAUUGUCAUAUGAUAUGUAGCACCAAUACAAAUAGAGACACGUCUCCGUACGUUAAAAACAAAUUAGAAACAUUAAAGAAUCUUAGAAUGUACGAAUAUAUGAUAAAAAAAAUUAAUAAUACAUACACAUAAUAUAAAAAUUAUUGAUUAUGUAACUCUCUAUUUCUACUAUUAUAAUAUGUAUCUAAAUUUUUAACUUACGAAAAAAUAUCAUGUAUGUCGUCAUCAAUAUUGUGUCGGAGUCUAUUAAAACUGUUAGAAUUUGUUAAUAUUUUUGGUUUUAAUCUUGGAAAGAAUUUUCUCCGAAAUAUGUUUUCUAGGCAUUACAGAUUCACAAUUACAUGUUCUGGAGAAUUUUAUCAUUUGGGCUAACUAUAAAGUCAUUCGUAGUCAAGUUAGUGUUUAUUGUAUUUUAUGUUAAUUAUGAAUUAUUUUUUGUAACACUAAUAACAUGAUUUAUAUUUGUAUACUAAGUUUAUUUAUCUUACUGUUUUUAUUUAGUUAUAAUAUAAGAUUUAUGUUAAUUAUUCAUGUUUAACUUUUAGUGCAAACAUGAAUCAGAGAACUGUAAUGUGUAGAUGGUACGUAGUGACACAAAUGUAUACAUUUAUCGAUAUUAUUCUGCAGUGAAAAGAGAUAAUAAAAAAUUAACUCAAAAAUUAAGAAUGAAUUUCACUCUUUUUGUUUAUUGAGUCAAAUUUUGAAUUUCUAAUUAUUCUGAAACCCUUACUCCUUGAAGGAUGAAGAAGAUACGGAAUUCAUUAAAAUGUAUUUAUUUUUAGGUAUUUUGUAUUAGUUGUUGAUUUCUUUAGAUUUAUUUAAAUUUACAUGUGAAUAUUAUAUUAGUAUUAACCUUUUUUUUUUCUCGUAUGAUAUUUAAUUAAUGUUUAUCAUUAUACCAUGUUUAUUAAAGAGAGAUGAAUCAAUGCUAUAAACAUUCGGAAUGGGCGUAGGCCUAUUUAUUGAGAAUUCAGAAGGCCUAUUUAUUGAAAAUGGGUGUUUCAUCCUUCAUCUCCAAGUAUUUCAUCCUGCACCUCCAAUUUCCGAAAAUACCCUUAUUUAAUUAAUAGUUUAAGAGUUUAAUAUUUUGAUUAGUGUGAAUUUCUGUGCCAGCAUUAAGACCACCUCCAUUUUGUUCCAAUCAGUAAGCAUGCAUUUUACUGACCUCUGCAACCCUUGACCCUGUACCCCUUGACUCUACACCCCUACAUCACUCCUGCACCCCACUUCUGCACCCCACUCCUGCACUCUCUCAUUUCCAACAUACCACUUCUGCACCCUACUCCUACACUCUCUUAUUUCCAGCAUAGCAUAGUGAUUCAUCUUUAUAAACAAACCUUACAUCCCUCCAUCUUUGAAAUGCAACUCGUUUAAGGUUUUCUGAGUGUUGGUUAUAUAUAUAUUUCCGAAGGAUUGUUGAGUGUAAGCUCAUUUGCAGUGGGGCGGCAUCAGCUUCUUCCUAUUAGCUAUUUUUUAGCGUUAGAGGUUAGUAUUUAUUUUAAAAUUUGUUUGUAUCUUCCUUCGAUUGGUAUAGCUGAUGGAUGGUUAAUAUAUUUUUUUUUUAAAUCUGUUUGCAUGUUCUUGUUGUUCAUUGUAUUGAUAUUAAGAGAUAAGAGGUAUUUAAUUUUAGUUAGAAUGUUUCAUAAAACGAAAACAUGUGUCAAUCGGACAUGGAUAUCCGAUUAACAUAUCAUCGGAUUUGGAUAUCCGAUACACAAAAUCUCGGAUUUGGAUUUCCGAUGCCCUAACUCUCGNNNNNNNNNNNNNNNNNNNNNNNNNNNNNNNNNNNNNNNNNNNNNNNNNNNNNNNNNNNNNNNNNNNNNNNNNNNNNNNNNNNNNNNNNNNNNNNNNNNNNNNNNNNNNNNNNNNNNNNNNNNNNNNNNNNNNNNNNNNNNNNNNNNNNNNNNNNNNNNNNNNNNNNNNNNNNNNNNNNNNNNNNNNNNNNNNNNNNNNNNNNNNNNNNNNNNNNNNNNNNNNNNNNNNNNNNNNNNNNNNNNNNNNNNNNNNNNNNNNNNNNNNNNNNNNNNNNNNNNNNNNNNNNNNNNNNNNNNNNNNNNNNNNNNNNNNNNNNNNNNNNNNNNNNNNNNNNNNNNNNNNNNNNNNNNNNNNNNNNNNNNNNNNNNNNNNNNNNNNNNNNNNNNNNNNNNNNNNNNNNNNNNNNNNNNNNNNNNNNNNNNNNNNNNNNNNNNNNNNNNNNNNNNNNNNNNNNNNNNNNNNNNNNNNNNNNNNNNNNNNNNNNNNNNNNNNNNNNNNNNNNNNNNNNNNNNNNNNNNNNNNNNNNNNNNNNNNNNNNNNNNNNNNNNNNNNNNNNNNNNNNNNNNNNNNNNNNNNNNNNNNNNNNNNNNNNNNNNNNNNNNNNNNNNNNNNNNNNNNNNNNNNNNNNNNNNNNNNNNNNNNNNNNNNNNNNNNNNNNNNNNNNNNNNNNNNNNNNNNNNNNNNNNNNNNNNNNNNNNNNNNNNNNNNNNNNNNNNNNNNNNNNNNNNNNNNNNNNNNNNNNNNNNNNNNNNNNNNNNNNNNNNNNNNNNNNNNNNNNNNNNNNNNNNNNAUUAUAGUUUAAAUGGACGAAUAUUGUUAUGAGAUGAAUUCUGAAAUAAAUUCUAGUAGAUUAUCAGAAUUUUCGUCCUUUAUAAAUGAGGGAUGCUGGGUAAUGGUGCUGUGAGGAAGGAUGCUGGGAAAAUAAUGGUGUUCUGUGAGAGUGAGAGUGAAUUNCGAUACUCUCUCUCUCAAAUUCAANAUCAUCACACNCUCUCUCUCUCUGAAAUUCAAANUGUGCACUGGAAUCUUUGACCACCUUUAAAGAUUAAACAGAUUUUAAAAAUUAAAAUACAUUUUUAAUUAGGGUUAAAAUUGGAAUUUUAUUAAAGUUUAGAGGUGCAGGAUGAAAUGCUUGGAGGUGGAGGAUGAAACACCCAUUGAAAAUUCUUAACGGGCUUGGGCCAUCAUUGAAAGGAAAUUGCUUCCUGUAUCCCAUCAAUUUUUCCAUGCAUCCAAUCAAUUUUAGAAAAUGACCAUUUUAUUUUUAUAAAAGUGACUUCCGGAUUAUGAAUUCCGUAAUAGGCUUUCCGGAAUUUUUGGAAUAAUAUUAUUAGGAACGAAAUCUUUGAAACGUGAUAUUCUGAAACAUAAUUUUUUUAAUAGAUUUUCAAAAUACACUUUCUGAAUGCAUAUAAUACUUUUCAAAAUAAAAUUUCCAGUACAGUCUUACAUGAAAUGGGUCCGGAAAGAACUUUUUGGAAAUAUGAAAUAUUUUUCAGAAUAUAUUAUUUUUUGGCGAUGGUGGCAGUGGAGGCCACAAUGAAAGUAGGAGUGUGAUGCAAUGGUGAAGAAUACUUAAGUAUUUCUUUUGUAUUGAUGGGAUGCAGGAAGCCUUUGCCUUAUUGAAAAUUCAGAAUGGUCUUAGGGGCUCGUGUAUUACAGAAACAGACAGGAUCACAGCCGCAUGCAACCACCAAAACUGGAGUUGUAUGGGUCCUUUUCAAGUAAACCGCCAUAGUAGACAGGCCCAGUCCAUAAUUUACCCAAGUCAAGUAAAACUUUCAUGACAAGGACCAAAUUUGGUUAAAGGCUUCAAAUGGAAAACUAUGUCUACCAACAACUUUUGCUAAGGAUUUUUCAGUACCUCGUAGAAUAACGGUCCAUCUUGGUGAAAACGUAUUUUAUAGGAUAUCAGUAGUUCAAACUUUUGAAUAUUACCAACAAAGUUAUCACUCCAUUUGACUAUGCAACAGAACAAAUAAACAUUUGCCUAGUAGCAAGUUUAGUACACCAACUCGACAGUUUUUUCAUGCCAAAACACAAGCUUUCGGGUAAAACAUACCACUUCAUGCAAUUGAGUACUGUAGUGCUAUGGACCAUACCCGAACUGGUUACUGUUCUCUCAAGGUCACCACCAAUCAAACUAAGAUAAAAUUAUAGAGCAUUUAAGUUAUUCUUGUUACCAAAACAGGUGAAUCAUAAUAUCAAAGGAAUAUUUCUACUAAAGGGAUUAUUCAUGAGGACAGAAAGGAUCAGACAUUAGGUUAAAUAGAGAUGACAAUGAACAAAGGAUAACACUGAAUUCUCUGACCUAAUACAAGUCCAAAAGGUACACCACAUGCAAUUUGUUUAUCCUGUGAAUUUAUAACAGGUGAAUCCAUAAUUAUGACCAAGUUAACCAACAACUAAACAGUAUAAGCAAAACUCUAUUGAUGCUAUUUAGUAAAAGGUAGGGUAGUUGAAUCAGAAAAAUAAAAAUAGAAGAGAUUCAUUGACUUAUCCAGCCAUUUUUUCUUCAUAUCAGACAAGGUACUAUGUGUGCUAAACCCAUUUUAAGCAUCAGUGACACGAUCUGAAAUUUCCAAAUAUAGAAUACUAUCUAGCAUCAAGACUUCCAUUUGUUAGUUGUCCAUCCUUGAAUCCAACGCCAUCACCAUCAAUCUCUAACAAUACUGAAUCAAUUAGAGCCUGCAAUCCCCAAAAAGAAAACACUCAUUCGUGCUACUAUCACGAUUUCAUCUCAUCCAUUUGGGACGUGGAGAUAGAGAAGAAAUGAAACAAAGCAACUGGAGUAAUAGGAACAACUGAACUCACUAAAUAGAGCUCAAAAAUUUAUAAGACAACUCCAAACAUCAAACAAAGUUCAAAAUUUCAUAUCAAUAAUGAUGAACAAACAUCAGAGAUCUUUCAAAUCUCAAGAUCUUUCAAAUCUCAACAGGUCUAUUUCAGACAUCUUGAUUUCUCCAAAAAAAGGUUUGUCGGGGUAUUUUAUUGCAUAAUUCUUUGUGUUUUUGGACAUAAGCAUAUUUUUUAUCCCUGCAAAUAUUGUUAAAUAUGAUUUUAGUAAAAAAAAGUUUUUUUUUUUGGGUUUCGGCCCUCACAAAUUUAUUUAUAUUUUAAAUAUCCAUCUCUUAUUUAGUGAUCACAUAACAUGCAUCUACACGAGCCAUGUAAAUGACCAUUAUGAGGUGACAUGUAUAGACAUAUGUAAUCAUCACUACGUAUUAAAAGGGACCAAUUUCCAAAAAUUAAAUGGAUGAGGAUCAAAACUAACCAAAAAUAUUGGAUGUCUAAAACCAAAUUUAGCAUAUUCACAUGAAUAAAAACACAUUUCACCCUUCACUUCGGGUACUAUUAUGGAGCAUGACUAUCUGUGACAAUAGCUUUAGUUGACGUUUCUUGUAUAUUCCAUUCCGCCCCGGCAUAUCUUUUCCUUUACAUUUGUACAUCUCUAACUUGCAUUACAAAAAUUUCUUACUUCAAAAUAAAAUCCAUGUCUUUUGGCCCCAAUUUAAUAAUUUAGAAAAGAUAGAAAUUGUUUGCUAGGAACUUGGAUAUUACGGAGUGCCUGAGUCUCAAAUUGGAGAAGUAUGGGUGCACAAUGCAAUAUUUCAGUGUUCGGUUAUUUCCCCUCACUGACUGGCUUUUGAGAGUGGGUCCACAAGUGUUUGAAUGCUUAUCAACUGGUAGCAAAACUAGCUGUUAGUGCCUCAAAAAGGGCUACUUACUUGAGUGAGACUUGGGCACUCCUACAAUACCCAAGUUCCAAUGAUAGGCUCAAAGACAAAAUAAAAUAUAAAGAUAAAUGGUGCAACAGAAAAAACAAGUCAUGAAACUCAUCUUCUAUACAAAUUAUACUAUAUAAUGCUUCUAUGUUGACAGACAAAAUUCAAGGAAACACAACAAUUUGAAAAAAUAGUUUAUAAAGGGAGCAUUUGUCACAAUUCCACAUAAAAUUCAAUACACAUAAUGCACAAAAUCAUGAGAGAUUGAAAAAAGCAGUAUCCAAAAUUACAAUGUAUAAUGUAAUAAUUUUUUAAAAAAAAAAACACAGGACAUACUUUGCAGAUUUGUACAUAAAUCGGAAUUAUGUGGUGUUAAGGCUCAAACCUGAAGUUCCUUUUCACUAGUUUUAAGUCUUUCUGUGUAAUCUUUCACUUGCAGAAAACAUUUAUGAAGCUGAAGAUCAAUUGCCCAAACCCAAUGUUAGCAGUAGUGCAUGAAUUUGGCAAUAGUAUAGAGACUGCAAGUAUUUGAUAUAUAAUUAUGACAACUAGAUACUACCUUUAUCAACUGCAUCUGACGAUAUGAAGUGUUUUUCUUAGCAUUGACCAGUGCAUCCUCCAGUUUCUGCGGUAAAUAUUUUCCAGGUCAGAAUAGAUUUUUUGUUCAAAGUAAGGACAACCAAAAGAGUAUAGCAAACAGAUACCUUAGAUUGCUUUUGCAAUUCCUUAACAUGGACCCUUUUCUCUUCUAAUCCCUCUUCCAUUUGAGAAACCUGAUAAGCCAAAAAUUCCACUUUCCAUGUCAUCAACACACAGCAGAAAUAAAAAUAACACAAAGGGCUGGAGGACUUGUUAUCCGGAAUUGGAAGACUUCUGAAGGAGGUGAUAUGCCAACUCGGUAUUUAGUAAACAUUGGAAUUCAGGGAAGUCUUCGUAUGAAUUUGUGUGCACAUCCCAAAAAUGCAAUUGUUCAGUUAGAAGAAAACAUUUAUCACACUAUCAUAAAGCUGCUUGCUAGCAUAGACUUGACCAUUUAACAAAUUGUAAUCAUUCAUUCAUGUUAGCUCUAAAGGGAUUACAAACCUCUUUUUUGAGUUGAUCAAACUGCUUAGUUGAGCUCUCUAAUUGAGCUUCUACCUGAAAUCCACACAAACAAAAAAAGUGCACCACAAUCAACUUCAAUUUAUUGUAUCCCAAUAUGCAACCUGGACAACAAAUUCAGAAUUCCUCACAUUUCAGAAAUUUAAAGGCAUUCGCAUUACCUGAUCAUCAUCGGCACCAGUUGACUCUGAUGAAAGAUCCAUGCUAUGUUGAUUUGUAACAUUCAAGCUGCAGGAAAGCACUAAUAAGUCCAGUAGAUUAUGCAUGUAACAAAAGUAAACUGAAGAAAAAUGGUUGGAAAUAAACAUAUGUCAAGAAAAAUGGAUGGAAAUCUUACUCAUUGUUUCUCCUUGACUGAUCUUUUCUAUCCUCGUCAAAACUUCUAUCAGGGUCACUUGACCUAUCCGUUUUCCUGUCUGCAUUAAAAUCCAAGUUGUGGUCUCUAUCCACAUCUCCACCAUCCCCCCUGCUAUGUUCUUGAUCAUUUUCAACUCUAUCAUCCUCUCUACCCCAGUCAUUAUCUAACAUAGGAUCUCUAUCUUCAUCAUAGUCAUGCAUAUGCUCAAAUCUUCUAUCCCUAUCCUGGUCUCGGUCUCGAGACCUAUCACGGUCCCGACUCCAAUCAUUGUUCCGAUUCCUGUAUCCAUCCCUACCACUAUUAUCAUGAUCAUAAUCUCUGUCUCGAUCUCUCCCACGAUCCCAAUCUCCAUUCCUCUCAUCAUUAUGAUAGUAAUACCGUUCUCUGCCAAAGUUUGACCUGCCCCCACGAGACCUCACCCCAUUAACUUUAACCACACGCCCGUCAAUGGUCUGAUUCGGAACAACAGAGAGUCAAACGCCUAAAACUCAAGCUAAGCACAACAAUAGUGAUUCAUAACCAGAUAUUAAAGACCCUAAAACAUGUAAAAGAGGACAAAUGAAUAAAUCACAUACUCUGCCAUUCAUGUCGUUGAUGGCGUCGAUCGCUGACCUAGGAUUCGUGAAAGUAACAAAACAAUAGCACUUCCCCCUACCGCGUUGGUCGUUGAUAAUCUGAAAUAAAAAUAAAAAUAAAAAAUUGGCGAUUGAAACAGAACCCCGAUGGGUGGAAUUGAUUAUUUGUGAAACGAAUUACAUAAAUAAGGUGGUUAUAAAGAAAGUUGGUUAAAACCCUAACAGAGAUGGAGUGAGAAAAAUGGACCUUCACAUCGAGAAUGGCACCAUACAAAUUGAAGACAGUGCGAAUGGUUUCGUCGGUGAUGUCGUAAGGGAGACCCCCAACAUAUAUAGAGCUAUCGUCGUCCAUCGUCAUUUUUCCUUUUCUGCUGUGUGUCGAUCUUAGCUCACCUUACAUUAUUUACUUGUCUUUGCAUGCCAUCAAUGUUUUUCUUGCUUUGCGUCAACCUUCAAACUUCACUUAUUCUUCCUUCCUCGCUGCCACUAUCCCCUCAUCCUUAUUCAGUCAAUCAGACAUUCUACUUCACUCAAACCAAUUCUAAAACUCGGAUUUUUCAUUAUUUAAUCCAAUUAAAUUCAAAGUUUAGUGUUUAUUUUGUUAAUUUUUCAAAUGCGUAUUUAACUUACUUAUAGUUUAACUUUUCUUUUCAAUAAAAUGUUUUCUUUUACUAUUUUAUUAGAAUUUUAUAACUAGUUUAAAAAUGUACUUAAUAUGUAACAUGUGAAGCUAAAAUAUUUAGACUACUCAAAAAAUAAUAACCUAUAUUAGGUCAAAUUUUCAUCAUCAACUUUUUAUCCAAAAAUGUUUCCAUGUUAGAAAACCUUAUGUUAAAUCAAAUAGCAAUUAAUAUUGGCUAAAUGAUUAUAAAACAACAAUUAAUCUUCAUCAUUUGUUCACAAGUCUAUAAUUUCAAUUUUAGAUUUAAUUUAUUAAAUUAAUCUCAUAUAAUUUUAAGUUUAAAUUUAUUUAUUUAACUAAAUAAACUAAAUGAUGAAUUAAGGAAUCGAUCUUAAAUAAUUUAUAAGUGACUCCAUUUAUUCAAGUACUUACAGAUAAAAGUUUUGUAGAUCAUAUUGAUAUGGUAUUUUUAAAAUUAAAAGAAAAAAGAAGAUAGUUCUGUAAAUUGAAUUAGUUAUUCAUCAUCCAUUUAACUUUCAAUACAUAAUUUUAUUAUAAUUGUUAAAAUACAAUAACUCUUCUUGUAAAUAGUUCCUUUUCACUUAAUGUAAAUAACUUUAUUUUCCGUUUUAAUUCUCUUCUUUUGUUUAUUUAUUUUUUAUUUCUUUAUUUCACAAUGUAACCUUCUUCAAACAUAGCUAUUUUAAAAUUUUAACCAUAGCGAUAUUUUGUAUUGCUUUUGUAAUGAUGGACUGUGUAUAUGUUUACUAGUUGCGCGUCGUGCAUCACUUCCUUGGUAAGAAUGAUCUGCAGAAUAUGGGCUUGGGCUUAUGGCCAAUGUGUUGAAAAGCAUAAAAAAACUUAAAUGGAACCAUUUUUCAGUAAAUGAAGGUAUUGCUUUUUGCACCCUCUUAAGUUCCUCCGACGCUUCAUCGACAGUGUAAAAUAUCAAAUUGUUCCUAAAUUUUCUACCUUUGUACGUGUACGUUGCGUAUAGAUAAUAAAUCUCACGGAACUGCUUUACAUUCUCUUGCUCAUUUCAUUCUUGUCUCCUUUGCAUUUUCCUGUUUUCUACUAAAGUUAUUUGUUUUCGCAAUAUAAUGUUUAAGGUACGAUGUUUAAUGAAAAAAUAUAUAUUUGAAUUUAAAUUCUUUGUACUAAGGGAUAUUUAGAGCUCCACAUGAAAGGUUUUUUUCUUAAAAUGUUUCAUUCGAUCAACUGUUUAGGAUUAAAUAAUUUUUUAAUCUUUUGGUUCUAAGAGGUAAUAAUUUCAAUAUGCUUGAAUGAAGUCUUUAGUUUGGGAUUUGUAAAUAAAAAAAUAUAAUUGAAAGAAAAUAUUUGAUGAUAGGAAAAAGUAAUUAGAAAUUUAAUAAACUGAAAGUUAUUUUGUAAGCAUAUGAUGGAUGAAGAAUUUGGGGUGUCCCACGGGUACUAUUGGUUUUUUUGUUGUAUUGUAGGCUUUUGUUAAAGUGAGAAAUGAUGAGUAUAAAGAAAGGGGAACAAGUUGAGAUAAUGAAUGCAAUGCAAAGUAAGGGUAUGUGUAAUUCAAAGCACGACAUGUAACAGAAUGAUUGCUAAUAUGAUAUGGAUAACAACCUACCUCAUACUAAGACCCAUAUUUUACAAAUAUGCAUGUUGCCUUGUUCGAUUGCGUGGUCGAAAUCAUUACCUAUAAAUUAAUGAGGACAAAAAGUUUAAAAGAUCAAUACCUUUAUCAUUUGUCCUUUACACACCUAAGUACACCUUUCGUUGCCUUUUUCCAUACCACUCAAAUUACUCUAUUUUAUAUAACUUACUCCUACCCUACAAGGAUUAGGAUAAAACAAGAAAAUUUUUUAUUAAAAAAAUUCACAACAUCACAAAUGAAUCAACCAUUAUUCCUUCUUAAUAGCAUUUCGGUAAAGAUUGACUUUUUGACAUUAGUUGACUUAUAAUAUGGGAAGUUUAAUUAUAUACUUUUUCUUGGUAUAAAGAGUUUUGAGGAAUGAACAUUAACAUUUUUUUGAAUGUUAGGUUUGAAACCUUCAGCAAAGUAAUCCAAGAAUAUCUUUUAAGUAAUUUCUUACACCCGAUUGACAAGUAUUGUAAAUUACACGUAAUAAGCUUGAACUGAGCUAGUUUGCGUGAGUUUAAACAACUAUGAUAUCAAGCCUCAUUCAUUUUAUAUUUUCCCUAAAAAUUAAGUUUGUGCAUUUUACAGGUUGGUAAUAGGGUUUGUUGAAGUAUGGAUUGCGUGUAUUUUUCGAAAUAUUCCUUGUGAGGCUUCUAAUUAAGAAAAUUAUGCAAGCAUAAUAACAUAGGCACAUCUUAAUUCUGACAUGAAUCACCGUGUGUUGUGUUGGAUGCAUAAUAAUAAGGCGAAAAGAGCAUCUAAUAAUGAGUGUUAUGGUGAGAUUGAUGGAUCCCCUUGUAAUCAUUCUUACCUUUAUGGACAUGCAUGUUCCUUUUGAUUGCAACGUUUUGUCAAUCAUUCUCACCUUUUGGUGGGUCAAGCUCCCUCCAAUAUUCCCCAACCUUUUAAAACAAACACAAUCAUUUCUCCCUUUGACUUCAAAACCAUUUUUCUAUUUUUCUUAUUAAAUUAAUCCUUUUUCUUUUUUAUUCCAAUUUCUUUUUUCCUUAAAUUACCCGCAUCAAUUAAACCACAUCCUUAAUAAAAUGUUUUAAAUAAUAAAAAAUAUACAUUAUGGAAAUAUUAAAUUAAUAUAAUCAUAAACUUAUAAAUUUUAUUAAGAUAAAAGUAAUAAUAGUUAACGAAAGAGUUUAUAUUCUCAAAUCCUUAAAUAUGUAUUUUAGAUAAUAUAAUAAAAGAUUAAAAAUAAAGUGUAAUUUAAUAUAUCAUUUCAAAAUCUAUUAGCUUUCAUUUACUCCACACUGGUUUUAUUAGCUUUUUCUUGGGAAGAAUACCUCAGCACACAUUACAUUUAUUUGAAAAAUAAUCAUAAAAAAAGUAAAACGUUAUAUUUAUAAAAAAAAAAUAGUAAUGAAAAAUAAUAUUAGUAUAUAUAUAUAUUUUUUUUGUCAUGAUAUCAUUACUUUUUAUUUAUUUAUUUCCACCGUCUUAAAAAUUUAAUACUUUACCUGUUUGAAGUUAACACCAAAAUAGACCAGUCAAAUCAGUCAAUCCACUUUCUGAAAAAUGAUUAUAAUGUGAAUGUAAUCCAAUUAAAGUUGGAUUACGUGAUAAUUUACUCCGAGGUUUUCUCACAACAAUAUAUAGUCGACAUUUAUUUAUAAAUAUUUUAAUGAUGUAAUGAAUAAAAGUCAAAAUAAAAGGUGAGAGAUUUAACUUUUUUUUCAAAAUAAAUAGUAUUUGUAGAAGGCGAGUUCACCAAUGGAUUAUUGUCUGUUUUGGGUUAUUUUUUAUGAUAAAUGUUUCACGUCAUAUACUAUCAAAUGAAUUUCUAAUACAAAUAUAUUGUAUAUUUAGAUAAAAAAAAGUUAAAGAAAUAUUUUUAUAUAAAAUUUAAAAUAGUUAUGAUAAAAUAUAUUGUGGAAAAAGAUUAAAAAUAUAUAAUUUUAUGUUAUUCAAAGUUAAAUAAAUUAAAAUUUUAAUACUUUUAAAUUUAUACUUCACCUAGUUUUAUUCUUUUCUCAAUUUGAUUAUAGAAAAAAAAAAUUAGCUUCGUUAAGAUUGAGACAUUAAUAUAAUUGAAUUUUCUAUAUUACAAGAAUAAACUAUAAUAUACAUUGAAAUUACAUACUAAAACUAUAAUUAAUUUAAGUAUAUUAUUUGAUAUAGUAAAAAAUUGUCGGUGCGUAGCAAUUAAAUAUCUCCUUAGCGUUGAUGAAGACGUAUGCUACUUCGUGAAGGAGAUUCAUAAAGCCCAUGGCCCAACCACCAUAACAGAUGUAAAAAGGGUGAAGAUUUCAAGGUAAAGAUUCAUUCAAGCUUCGUACUUUUUUCUCUUAUUAAAUUAUUGCCAUUUAGAUUACAAUCAUACACAAUGUUUCUACAUUAGAUCUUACUUACAAGAUUUUAAAUACAAUGUCUUUUUUUUCUUAUUAAUUGUCUAUUAAGAAGAAAAUAAAUCUUUUCUCAAAAUAUUAUUCUUAUAAUUUUUAUUAGAUUUCAAACUUACACAUAGUCAAUAAAAAGAGAGCUAUUACUUUGCGUUUCUUAGAGUAUUUUAGAAAAUAUUAUUAAUUUUAGUGGGCAUUGUAAAAGCCUAAAUAAAAAGAGUCAUUGGGUCUUAAGUUGGGACAGUCAACCCAUCAGCAAAGGACCCAUAUUUAGGAAGGGGUCUUCUGAAAAAUCAGAAUCAGAUUUCUUAUUUCUAUUAUGUAAUAAUAAAUAAUUUAGCAAACAAUUUCAUAAUUAAGAGAGCAUUCUAAAUUAUUUUGAGGCAAUACGUAUCAUAAUAUAUUAUAUUAUUAUUAUUAUUAUUAUUAUUAUUAUUAUUAUAUAUAUAUAUAUAUUAGUUUAAUAUAAUAUAGGUAAUUAAUUAAUUAUAUUAAUAUAAUAUAGUUUUAUAUAUAAUAAUAAAUCCGUAUAAUAUAAUAUUAUAAUAUGAAUGUUGGUUUAAUAUAAAUUAAAAAUGUUUCUGCAAUUGUCUAAUAGAAAAUUUAUAAUAGAAGUAUAGUUUAAUAUAACUAUUAUAAUAUAGCGGAAGAAAACAGAGUUUUAUAUGGCAUUGGAAAUAAAUUGUGAAAAAUAAUGGUAUUGAUUAAAUUAGAUUAAAUUAGGGAGUAGUUAUUUUUAUAAUUUGUGAUUGCUGAGUAAGGUAUUGUUGAGAUUAUGUAUAUGUUGAUUGUGACAAAAAGUAUACGAUUACAAAGUGAUGAAAGUAUGAUCCAAGGGGUAAACUAAGUUCUAUCUGUGCAAAAUCUCUUGGUGAGAUUCUUAGUGUUUUAAAAUGAAAGUAGGAGCUCAGUCUUGGGGGUCUUCUUGACGCUCCAAUGGUCUUUCACGUAGAGAGGACUGAACCAUGUGGUGAGGAGUAACAGGAGAUCUUAGUCUUGGAGGCUUCCAUCAUGCUCCAAGACGCGGAACAGACUAACCUCGUGAGUGUGAUAGGGCGGGGGAGCCCAAAGCGAUGGAGCCCAAGGCGGUAGAGCCCAAGUAUCACAAGCCACCAUGGGUGCAUGACCCGCCAUAGCUCGACUAUCAUUCUAAAGUCCGGACGAGUCAAGUCUAGUAUUUAACAUGAUAGGAUAAAUGUUUUAUCUUGUUUGCUUUAAAUUAACAUCUUGUAUGUACAUGCUCUUAAUUGUAUGCUUUUUAUAUAAUUAGCUCACUCUUGCAAUUGUUUAUGUUUGUGUCAUGUUUGCGUUUGUUUCCCUUGCGAUGAUCAUCCACUUGGAUGGGAGCAGAUGGCAAGGAGAUACUUUAGAAAUAGUUCUUGAUGGGGAAGGAAAUGUUGUUGCCUAGUUCUAUAGGCUUUAAUUAUCUUAUCUUAGGAUAUUUUGAAGAAACUUUGUCAUGUUCUAAGUUUUAAAUUCUCUGUAUUUUAAGGGAGAAACUCUAGUACUCCAAGUUUCCAAAUUGUACUAUUUAAGGAUAACUGUAAUCCUAUUCCUCUUAACUGUCUGCUUUCUACUAUUAUUCAUGAUGACGCCUUUAUUAUAUUAUAUAUCUUUAUAAUAUGAUUGGGAUAUCACAGACAAUAUUUGUUCGUACCUGAAAUUUCAAUUUUAUCUAUUUAAUUAAAACGAACUACGUAUUUAUUGAUUAUUUUACAAUUUCCAUUGAUAUAUAUUAAAUCGAAAUAAGAAGAAUAAUGGAAUGUAAAAGAAAUAGAUAUAUUGUAGAUCCAUUGGAAAUUUUAAUAAGUUUCUUGAUUGAAGAAAAUAUAAAAUGUGUGUAUAGAAGUUGAUUCUUUUCAUCCUACGUAAACAUAUGUUUGCGACAAAAUAUAUAUGGUUACUAUCUUAUAUAAGUUUAUCUGCAUAUGCAAAGUACUUUUUUUCUAGUUUAAGUAUAAAGACUGUUUUUCAAGGAUUUUGAUGUGAUACUUAUCAAUUUAUUUUUAAGUCAAUUAAAUCUACUCGAGGUUGAAUUCUUUGUCAAUAAAACUAAUAAAUAAUUAUUUUAGUGUUUUAAUUUAAUAUUUCAUAAUUAACACAAAUUUAUAUGUGAGAAAUUUAUAUUGUGGAUUAAUUUUAUGAUAUGUUUAAUUCACUUAAUUUUCUUUUUAUAUAAAUUUCAAUCAAGAAUUUAUAUAUUUCUUUUCAAUAACCAAAUUUUUGUGUUUUUAGAUAAAGAUGGAAUGACGAAGAAAAAGUAAAGAAGAUGAAGAUGGAUUAAAGUAACCAAUUAAAAGUGUGAGAAAAAGGUAAAUUGUAUAAAAAAUAGAAAAGAAAAUUAUUAAGAAUGAGCUGGUAAAGGAAAUCAAUGAAAGAAAUAACCCAAAUUAUAAUAAAUAUGAUAAUUGGAUUUCUCAUUAUAUUGUUCGACAACGUUUUUGGCAUAUCUAUGUUGUAAACAUAAUUUGUUGCAUUUUUUUUUUUACAUAUGAACUAUGUAUUUAUGUUGUUCUAUUUAUUUUUUAUUUAAACCAAAAUAUAAUAAAAGAAAAUUAUAUAAUUUGCAAUAAUUAUCUAAAAACCAUUAUGUCACUUAUGUCGACUAAACCCGUAUCUUGCUGUUAGUUAUUACUAUAUGCUUCAAUUCCCUUUGGAAUAUUUUACAUUAAUGAUUAUUCUUCUUGAACAUUAAUGAUUUUUUUUUCUGUCCUUGAACAUUUUAUACAAUCAAAUAGUAUAAAAAUAUUAAAUUUUUUGAAAAGGGCAAAGGAAAAACAAAGAUUUAAUAGAGAUGAAAAAAAAAAAAAAAACAAGGGUGGGGUUGCCCUCGUAUGAAGUGCCCAGGCUGGUUCCUUUCCUUUCCUUUAUAAAAGUUCGACCCAGCAAUGCACAUGUGCUUCAGCCUCUCCUCUUUUCUCUUUCUCUCUCACUUUUCUGACACAUAGUCCCCGGAAUCUCAAUUUCCGACCGGUCAUAUUUCCGUCAAAGAAGCUGACACAACCUUUCUUUUCCCCCUUUAACUCUUUCUCAUAUAACAUCUCUUGGUUACCCUGCAAUUCUUCCACCUACAAGUGCACUCAAAUUAACCUUUGCACCACACAUAAUAGUAGGCACCACUGAUCAUCACUGCCAAAUCUCCUUUCUUUCUAUUCUCUCUAUUUAUUUAUCAAAUCUCACACCUUACCACAUGCAUAAUCAUACUUACUAUAUAUCAUCAAAAUUCAAAAUCCUCCUUUCUGCAUUUAUUCCUUUUAAUAUUAUAUAUACAUAUCAUGCAAUGCAAUCCUAUAGCUAUACGUUUCUUUUAUGGUUCCCAAAAGGUAAAAGGUCUCGUAGUGUUCCCCCCUUUUGACAAUCAGUGGCACGCUUUCAAAACUCGUUUCACUUCUGAUGCUCCUUUCUUAAAGGCACUGAGUGAGGAGUACUCUUUUCUUAGAGUGUGUUCUUUCAUACAUGCUUUAUCAAUAGCAGAAAGUGAACCAUCCCUAAUAACCACCUGGUCUGGUCUCCUCAGCUCCCCCAACUUCUCUUUCUUUGCUUCCUCUUCCUUCUCUCAACCUCAACUAAUUCUAAAAUCUCGUUAACUCCUUCGCAAUUUCUCAUAAAUUCCUCCAUGCAUGCUGAACUAGUACUACUCCUUCUUUCAAUUUACUUUUCUCUCUCCCAUCAAUGACUUAAAAACAUUGCUUUUUGAGGUUGUUUCACUUCUGUUACAAAAGAACAUGUCUAGUUUCAUUGUAUCCAAAAAAGAAAAGAAAGUCCUCUAGACUAGUUGCCUUUCAAUAUAUAUAUAUGAAUGAAGCUUUCAAUUCAGAGUAUCAGAUUCAGGCUAUAGAGUUAGCAUAUAUAGUAGCUUCAUUGCUUCACCACCCCAAUUCCUCCUAUAUAUGCUAAUGUAUUGUCCCGUGUCUUUAACGUGAUAAACCAGUUUUAGCUUACUUUAAAUGUAAUGUCAUCCACUAACUAGCAGUCUAUGGCAGGAAAAAAGUAGUUGGAAGUGUAGAUUGAAACAUUUUGGUGGUCUAUAGCUAGCUGCAUGCGGUUCACACUCAUGUCUUUCAACACCUUAAAUGAAAGGCUGUUUGUUAUAGUAUAAACCAUUUACAGUAUAUAACAUUAUGUGUAGGUUGAUUGGAAGCAGGUAAAGGGGAAGUUAGAGGUUGAAAGGUUGAGUUCGUAGUUGAAGUUUGGCGUAGUUAGAGCACACAGUUGCAGAGGCAUUAAAAGCAAAGGCAGCAGUUACAACAAUUCGCACGGAUUGCUGCAUAAGAUACAUGGCGUAAAGCACAAGGUUUGUUUUUCUACUUACUAUGCUCUCUCUCCAUUUUUUCUCAUUCAGACUAGUCAUACUCAUAACUAUAUCUUUUAACUUGAAAACAAUGUUUUCCUAUUUCUUUUAUAAGUUUUGGCACACUCUAUGCACCUAGCUGCUUCAUGUCUAUGUAUGGUGUUUUCCCCAAAGUUCAUAACCCAGAAACUAGUAAGACAGACUCUCCUGAAUUAUUCUUUUCCUUUUUUUUGUUCUUGUUUGUUUUCAUAGGGUCUCACUUAGUCAUUUUCUCAUCAUUGCAUUACGUGCCUAAAUAUCUCUUUCAAUAAUAAUAUUCUCCCACAACUAGUACUUCACCUGCUCAAUCUUACCAUUUAAAUUCAAUAUAUAUAUAUAUAUAUAUAUAUAUAUAUAUAUAUAUAUAUAUAUUAAAAUUCCCUAAACAUUAGGCACAACCCUAUAUGCAAUGACAGAUUAUUUUAUAUAUAACGUACAAAAUGUUUAAGAUACAUAUAAGCAUUAACAAUCAUCACAUUAAAUAAAUAAAACAAAUAUUUAUUGCUUCGAAAUUUGUCUAAUAUAUGGUCUUUAAAUUUUGUUAUAAAAUAAAAUUAAAGUAUCUUUUACUUCAUUCACAUAAAAACUAGUAAUAAUUUUUUCUUGUAUACGUAGAGUGUAUAGGUUAAGGAAAUAAAUAUGUUUUUUAAGUAAAAAAGAAAAAUAUUAUCAUAUUUGAAACGAAAAUAAACCACUUUUUAUUUUUAAGUAAUCAAAGUACUUAACGGUGUGUAUUUAAUAAUUUUAAAGCUUACACUUACACACGAAUACAAACAAAAUAAAAAUAACAUACUAGUAUGACUUAUUUUACCAAAAUAUCUAAUUUUCUCCGUUUUAAGUGUUGAAUUAUCAAUGAUAUUAAAAGUCAUUUUACAUGUUGAAAUUAUCUUUUGUAAUAUUAAUUUCCUUAAUUAUUUUUUACUAAAAUAUUAAAAUAUUAAAUAUAUAACAUUUCAGUUUUGUAAAACUGCGAUACACACUUCUAGUAUAAUUAUCGUCUAUUAAUUAAAAUUUCUCUCAUUUAGAAUGUUGAAAUUAGCUUUUGUAAUAUUUUUCCUUAAUUAUUUUUUACACAAAUAUUAAAACAUUAAAUAACAUUUCAUUUUUAUAAAACUGUAAUACACACUUCUAGUAUAAUUAUCGUCUAUUAAUCAAAAUUUCUCUCAUUUAGAUUUACUUUUUAUUUUUCUACUCCGCAAUUAAUAGUUACAGGAGUGAUACAAAAAAUAUUUUAUGGGACCAUAAAAUAAAAUGAAAAUAUUAUCAAACCUAAUAAAUAGAAUGGAUUAGUGUUUCUACUAAUUUUCAGAGUCAAUAUGAUGGGGGUGCAUCCUAAAGAAAAGCUUUUUUAUAUUCCGAAAUAGAUCACCAUGAAUUUCAGGUAGUAUGAUUAUUUUCAAUUGUUAAUAUAUGCUUUAUUGUUAGUUAAAUCUUUCUCAGCUUAUUUUUCUAUUAAUUUUAAUUUUAUAAAAAAUUGUUACAUAAUACUCCAUCUUAUGUAUAGAAGCAAAAUUAAUUAGUUUCAUAUUUAUUAAAAAGGAUAGUUAGGGUCAUUUAAUAUUAUUAAUUUCUUUCGAGAUAGGAUUACAAUUUCUAAAUUACUUUUAGUCAUAUUUAUUGGAGAUGGUUCACUAUUGCAUAAAUAUAAAAAUAUUUUUAAAAUAACAUUAGUGUUACUUGAGAGAGAUUUAAUAUAUUUUUAAAAAGGUUAAAUAUUAUUAAAAAUGAAGGCUGAAAAUUAUAUUAAAAAAAAUGAAACACUAACAUUACAGAUGAUUAAAACUUAAAAAACCAAAGUUAUAAAAAGUUACAACGAUGAUGAAUGAUAAGUUACAAAGUUUGUCCAUUGAUUUUCAUUAUUUGAUUCUGUAUUUUCACCCGUAUGAAAUCUACGGUUAUUUAAUUUUAUUCUGAAAGAGAAAUAGCAAAAAUGUUUUUAUUUUGAAACAGUCGUUGGAGCUGGGUGGUGUUUUUUUGUCGUACCUAUGAAUAUGAUCCUUCCUUGGGGUUGAACGAAAGGAAUCUGGGCCAGGAAUCUUUAUUUCAUGAUGAUCUUAGUAAGAUCGGCUUAGGUGAAGGAGUUGGCGCUCAAUCAGGCAAACAAUGCAACACAUAUCAUAUAUACAAAAUAUCACACGACAGUGACACUUUCACAACUCACUUUCUAUUUUUCUUAUAAAAUCAAUAUAUUUCUUCUUUUUUAGCAUUUUCCACUGUCAAAGUACGGUUCCCUUUUCAAUUUUCUAUACUUUUUAAAGUUUAAACAUGACAAAUUUACAUAGCCAAAACAGAGAAAAAAUCCAGUAUCCAAAGUGGCAAAAUCUAGUUCAUUAUAACUAUUAAUUACUUUCAGGGUUCAAAGCAUAUUGUUUUUUUUUUAAGGAUGAGAAAUAACCGCAAGUUAAAAUGAUUUAAUAAUGAAUGCAUUUAACAUUAAGAGAUGGUAGUGGUAAGUAUGAGUUAUAUGUAAAUGAUGUGUUUUGUCUAAUGGUCAGUUGGUCACGUGACAUGGUGAAAAGGAUUGUAGGUAAGAGAGGUUUGUAGGGUGUAGUAGGUCUCUGGCGAAGGUUUCUGUUUUUGUGGAUUUUUUAGUACAUGAGCUGAUAGGAAAUAGUUUUGUCUAAAGACUUUUAUAAGCUUUGAAUUUUGUUUGACGAUGAUGCUUGAAAAUCAUGGAUCCUUUCCUUUGAUAUUCAAGCUAUCUGGUUUGGUUUGAUUAGAUGAAUAAAAAGAGAGAGACAUGGAGAAAGCAUAAAGAAAAUUAGAGAGGAGGAAGAAGGUUGGAGGAGGGGGCCCUGGGGAAAUUUUACAGCUUAGAUGUGACAAAAUGGAAAGAAAUCAAAUGACAUUGACCAAAGAAACAGUCAGACAGGUAGCUUCAGCCACAACAAGAUGAGUAUGCAAAUUAAUGCCUCUUACCAAUACAUCCAAUAACAACAUUAAUUCUCUUUUCUCGCAGCAGCAAUAAUGUUGUCAUAGGAACAAAAUCUGAAACCUUUGCUGCUUGCCAUACAGUGAGGUUUGGUUCAGGAAUUAAUAAGGGCACGAAAGUCUUCACAUGGGUGGUGUUGUUCAUUUAUAAUGAACCAUUGUUUGUUUAUUUUGUUAUGGAAGGAGUUUUUGAUUUUAUAUAUAGAUGUUGUAUCUGUCGUGUGAAGCCAGUGAAAGGGACAGGACACAUGAUUGUUCUUGGUGUCUUUGUAAUGAUCCGAAAUAGUUGAAGAGAGUUACUAUCACUUGUACCAUUCUUGGGUAUCCCUAGUUCCCCCAUCUCCCCAUCCAAAAGGCCACAAAAACAAAGAGAAAAGGGCCAAAAUCCAAUUUAUUUAUUUAUUGGGACAGGCACACCAUAGUUUGCAGCAUUUACCCUUGGGUGCACGUACAACUGACAUUGGCAUUUGGCAUUUGGCAGGCAGCCAUUAUGGCAUGUUCAUGCAUACUGUCCGGAUAUCCAAGCACAACCAAGCUUCAAAUUUUGUUUUGACUCCUUCCUUGCUCCUGUUUUUUAUGCCUCUUGUCUCUGCUACUGCUACCCUCCUUUCUGUUCUGUGUUCUGGUGUGGUGUGGUGUGGUGUGCUUACUCAAUCUGCUUUAGGGUCCCGUUCUGUCGUUUUAAUUCAACUUGGGAAGGAGUUAAAGCUCCUUUGUGCUCGCUGAAAAGGGUAUUUAUACAUGCAAUCUUACAAACUCUCCUGCCAAGAACUUGGAGUAGGGUAAAAUUCAAACAUCCUUUUGGGACCACCAAAUUUAAAGCCCCCUUCGACUAAUACUAUUCACUCCCCACAAUUAAUUAACUAUAGUCCACCGCAACCAUUUUUUUUUUCUUUCCCUACCAUAUCAUGUGCUUCUUAGCUUAUGGAACAUUACAUUUUUUUAAGGAAAGUGGAGAUGGUGCUGAUGUUGCUGUUGUGGACUUGAGUGCAAAGUUUUUAUUAUUAUAUAUGUGCCCAUAAGCAUCAAAGAGUGGUAAGUCAAAAUUAGGCCAUCACACUGUUCCAAUGGGAGCAACGAUGGUUAUUAGAAUUUUAUAGGAGAUUGUUGGUUCUUUUGCAUGUAUGCACGUCACUUUAUUUUUCUUCCCAUCUUUUCACUUUCAGUUUCAGAGAAUGUACAGCGCCUAGGGGAAGAUGAAACACUGUCGAGAUUUGAUGCCAUGCCAUACCUUUCUUUCUUUCUUUCUUUCUUUUUAUUUAUUUUCCCUUCUUUUCAGCUUUCAGCCGUUACAAGGCCUCUUCAUGCCUUUCCCACUCUUGUACUUUCUUUAACUCUUGUUUUCCUUCAAGACAAGUGCAUAUAAACUGAGUUAUGGUUCUCAGUAAAAACGUGGAACCUGCUUUGCCAUAAACCUUUUAGUUUAUCCCUUGUUGGAAUCUCUCACCUCUUGCUCCUCCAUCUCCACUUUCAGACUUACGUAAGUGAAGUUUCUUUCCUUAUUUUCUUCAGAACUAUUUGCCAAGUUCAAUGAAGGAUCCAGCGGAGGAUCAAAUGAAAUCUAGGAGUGCCCUGCAGAGAUCAAAAGACCUUAGAAGAAGAGAUAAAAGAAGAAGCCAAUGCAAACAAGAUAAAUUGCAAGAAACAGGACUUGACUCGCAAUUGGUUUCCUCUGCUUGCAAAAGUCUUGUGUUUCCUGCCAGACCUGGCUAUGGCCAGCUGGGGACAAAGUGUCUGGUCAAAGCUAAUCAUUUCCUGGCAGAUAUAUCAGCUUCUGACUUGAGCCAUUACAAUGUAAGUCCACCUCUCUGGUAAAGAUAAAAUCUAGAGCAGCAAACUGAUGCAAACUAGACAGACUAAUAAUUUUAUUUGAGUCCGGGGUUUUUGCUGAGGUUAUCGUGUGUGUUUUGUGAAGGUUACAAUAACACCUGAAGUCACUUCUCGUAAAACAAGCAAAGCCAUCAUAUCUGAGUUGGUGAGGCUUCACAGGAACACUGACUUGGGGAUGAGGCUUCCUGUUUAUGAUGGAGGAAGAAAUCUCUACACUGCUGGCUUGCUUCCAUUUGCAUACAAAGAGUUCUCCAUAACAUUGAGCCGGGAUGACGAGGGUACUGGUGGUACCAGGUGAUGAUUGUUCAAGUGAUUAUGUCAUGAUGUUUUGUUCAUAAUGUUUUGUUCCUAACAGCUCCCCAAACUUUUGGAGUUUGAAAGUGGACUUUUGAGUUAUUGAAGUAAAAAAGAGAGUUUUAAUCACUCUUGCCAGGGAAAGAGAAUUUGAAGUGGUGAUAAAGUUUGCAGCUCGUGUCAGCAUGCAUCAAUUACGUGAGCUUCUGAGUGGGAAACAAGUGGACACCCCACAAGAGGCGCUUACUGUCAUUGACAUUGUAUUGAGGGAGCUUGCAGCUCAGAGGUGCAUUUGUGGUGCUUCUUUCAACAUUGUAUCCAUUGCUUCCUCUUGCACCGAAGGAAGCUAUUGCUACUAUCUUCUUCUUUCAAUGUUUCUUAGGUCUUAUUUUGCUUGUAUUGCAUGUUUAGCUUCGUGUCAAUUGGGAGGUUUCUCUAUUCUCCGGAUUUAAGAAAACCACAGCAGUUAGGUGGUGGUCUGGAAUCAUGGCGCGGCUUCUACCAAAGUAUAAGGCCUACUCAGAUGGGAUUGUCCCUUAAUAUUGGUGAGAGUUCUACCAUAUAUAUCUUCGUUUUUUUUUUUUUUAUAAUUUUACGUUAUCAAGCUGAGAUUUUUUAAUACUGUCACUGAUAAUAAUUUGUCAACAGUAAAUACUAAAACGAUUCCUCUUUUUUUUUUUUUUUUUCUUUCGAUUUUGAUGCUUCUUUGUCUCAGACAUGUCAUCAAUGGCUUUUAUUGAACCACUCCCUGUAAUUGACUUUGUUGCUCAAAUUUUGGGAAAAGACGUGCUCUCAAAGCCACUGUCAGAUGCAGAUCGUGUCAAGGUAUGAAGUUUACUAUGGAAGCUAGCAAUCUUUGUAAUUACAGACACUAUUAUCCUCACAUGUUAAACGAAAUAAGUGAUGCUUGCAUGCCCUAUGGUCUUCACUAACUCCGUCUUGACAAUGAUUGUUUGCGUAAGGACAUAUGGAGUUUCAGAUUGAGAUUUAAAACGUAAAGUAAUAUAUCCUGCAAGGCCAAGAGCCCCUGUGCUCCAAAGGCAUGCUAAUAAAUGUAAUGCAAAAGUUUUCUUAUUCUUCUCCCAAGGCGUCAAGUAAUGGUUGAGGUUGUCGGUUAUAUGUCUUAAAUCUAGUUCGUUUUCUCGUCUAUGGAAGAAUUUAAUUGAUGACUUUUCUAGUUUGGAAACCAUGAGAAAUAUUUAAGCAGAUCUGACCAAAAAAUCAUUGUGGUGUCACUAAUGCAGAUUAAGAAAGCCUUAAGAGGUGUGAAAGUCGAAGUUACACAUAGAGGAAGUUUUCGAAGGAAGUACAGAAUUACAGGAUUGACAUCACAACCUACAAGGGAGCUCAAGUAUGGUUUUGUAACUUUUGCAGUCGAAAAUGGAAGUUUUUAGAUUUACCUCUCAAGGAAUUGUUGUCUCUUUUAUUCCCAACAGUUUCCCUGUCGAUGAGAAAAUGAACAUGAAAUCAGUGGUUGAUUACUUUCAAGAAAUGUAUGGAUAUACAAUUAUAUAUUCUCAUCUACCCUGCCUUCAAGUAGGAAGUCAAAAGAAGGUGAACUAUUUGCCUAUGGAGGUAAGCUCUUCCUUCAAUUUAUUGAACCUACUCUUUUUCUUUGGAUUUUAUUUUUUAAUGAACAAUUCGUCGUGAAUCUUAUCCCAGGCAUGUAAGAUAGUUGGAGGUCAGAGAUAUACAAAAGGGCUUAACGAAAAGCAGAUAACUUCUCUGUUGAAGGUCUCAUGCCAGAGACCACGUGAACAAGAGACAGACAUUCUACAGGUCAUUGUCAUGGAUUCUUGAUAUCACUCUCCAACCUUUAUUUUCUUCUUUAUACUUUUAUUUUUGUCAGAAUCAAUUGGGAACUGAAGAGCAGUGACAUGUGUGAUAAAUUGCAGUUGUUUUAAGUUCACUUUUUAAGUCAUUUAUUCUCUUCACAACCAGAAGAAUUAUGUGUAUUGUGGUUUGGUUUGAUUAAUUUAUAACUUUCCCUAUGUACUACCAGACAAUUCAAGAAAAUAAUUAUGAGUAUAAUCCCUAUGUAAAGGAGUUUGGUAUCAGCAUUGACAGCAAACUUGCAUCAGUUGAAGCUCGGGUUCUUCCUGCUCCAUGGGUAAUUUCCUAUAGUUAAAUCGGUCAAUUAUUUUUAGCUUUUGGCAUACUGCUGAUAGUACAUUUUGGCUAUUCUAUCUUCGAAGUUGAAAUAUCACGACACUGGAAGAGAGAAAGAACACUUGCCACAAGUUGGUCAAUGGAACAUGAUGAACAAGGUUUGCUCAUACACUAAAAUAUAAUUUUUUAACAUUAAAAGUAAAAAGGCUUGUUCCCACUUCUACUUUGUUAUUUCAAUGUAGAAAGUUAUAAACGGAAGCACUGUAAGAUAUUGGGCAUGUAUCAAUUUCUCACGAAGUAUCCAAGAAAUUGCUCGCGGGUUUUGCCAACAGUUGGUUCAAAUGUGCCAAAUCUCAGGCAUGGUAAAGUUUCAAAUUUUGGUUAUACCAUUUUGAGAAGUUUUACAUUUGAGACUGCUUGUUUGAGCAGCACUAGCAACUCCCAUCACUUUUCCAAUUAUAACCAUUAUUUCUCGUUAUUCUAUAUCAUUAUCAAUUUAUCAUGCACACUCUUAUACAUUUUUUUACUUUUCACAGGAAUUUAGUCUAGACCCUGUGAUUCCUAUAUACACAGCAAGACCUGAUAUGGUAAAGAAAGCCUUGAAGUACGUACAUUCUGCUGUGCGAGAUAAACUUGGUGGGAAAGAACUAGAGUUGCUGAUUGCCAUUCUUCCAGACAACAAUGGCUCUCUGUAUGGUAAGAUUCCAAGUCACUCCAAUACGUCCAGUCAUUAGCAUCAGUUCAUGAACAUAGCUACCAUGGUAGAGGUGUAUAUAGAAAUGUUAAAGAGGUUCUAGUAGUACCUCACUACUAGAUCAGCUUUCUUUGUUUUACAUGCAUGUGAAAAUUCGAACUUUUGCACUCUAAGAGAUUUUUCUAGUAUCUUACCACACAUUCCUUGUCUUUCCAAGAAAAAGAGCUUGAGUAUUUUAUCUUCUCCAUGAUCAUGCCAAUUGAUAACUCCAUACUUCUUGCUCGCACUUAAAAAUCGAAUAAUUGUUUCAGGUGAUCUCAAAAGAAUCUGCGAAACAGAUCUGGGGUUGAUUUCUCAGUGCUGUCUUUCAAAACACGUGUUCAAGAUCAAUAGACAGUAUCUGGCAAAUGUGGCCUUAAAGAUCAAUGUCAAGGUCUGUUCUUAACUUAAUAUAUACCUAAAAUUAUCUAUGAAAAUUACUAUCCGAAGUAAGAGAGAGGUUACUUGCUACUCAAUAGUCCUCGCCCACCUUUCUUUUUUACAUUUUUCACUUAAUCUUACAUAUACUUUUAGUUGGGAGGAAGGAACACAGUACUUUUGGAUGCCUUAAGUUGGAGGAUCCCAUUGGUUAGUGACAUUCCAACAAUAAUUUUCGGAGCUGAUGUGACUCAUCCAGAAUCUGGAGAGGACCCUUGUCCAUCCAUUGCUGCUGUAAGUAUUUCCAAAGUCCUAUAGGCUAUAACUUACAGCUUUCCAUAUAUUUGGUCUUCUGAUUACUGCUAUUCAGGUUGUAGCCUCCCAGGACUGGCCGGAAGUAACAAAGUAUGCAGGAUUAGUAUGUACUCAGCCUCAUCGUGAGGAACUCAUUCAAGAUCUUUUUAAAUGUUGGAAGGAUCCUCAUCAUGGUGUAGUUUAUGGCGGCAUGAUCAGGUACUUAGUAGCAGCCUCACGACUUUCAUAUUUGGAUUAAGUGGAAGGCCACGCUUGCCUCCAAAUUUUGUUUUGGUUUAGAAUAAUAUAGAUUUUCCUCAGGUAUUGACUUGAUUGCCUUGUUAAGCCUGAAAACGUCUUUGUUUACAUUGUUUAAAUUGGCCGAUGAGAAAGGUUUUUGUUAGUUCUUGCUCCGGCUUUUCCUUUUCACUUGAUGAUGUUUUUGCAUUGAUUACCUGUAAUUAUAUAUUGAAUCAUACUAUUCUGUUCUAUUGCAGAGAGCUGUUACUCUCGUUUAAGAAGGCAACUGGACAAAAACCGCUGAGAAUAAUAUUUUACAGGUAAGGUUGUUCAGUUCUAAUAUUUGAAGAAAAAAAAAAGAAGUGUUCUUGCAAAGGAAACUAGGGACUUGGACAUAUUACGGUCACACAAGUGGAAUAAUGGAGGAUGGUCUAUAUUAUUUAUAGUUAUUAAAUAUAUUUACAGGGAUGGGGUAAGUGAAGGACAAUUCUACCAGGUUUUGUUGUACGAACUUGAUGCCAUUCGUAAGGUACUUGAAUGUAUUGCAGUUAUAUUUAUUUACAUUUUCUUGGACCAUGAAAGCUAGCAAGACACUCUGACCUUGUUUCAUGCUUUUAUUGCUAAUGUGUAGGCUUGUGCAUCUUUGGAACCGAGUUACCAACCUCCGGUAACAUUUGUUGUGGUUCAGAAACGGCAUCACACCAGACUAUUCUCAAACAAUCAUGACGACAGAAACAGCACUGAUAAGAGUGGGAAUAUCUUACCUGGUAAUAAAUUUUUACUUCCAUUUUCUAUCGUUAGAGCAUGUCACAAAUCUAAGGAUGUUCAUGAAAUCCAGCAGGGCAUACAACAACAUUGCUUGAAUAAAUAAUGUUAUUUAUACAGCAAUCCCCACACAAUGUUUCUCUCUAUCUCUUUCCUCUCUUCUCUUCCCAUCCCCCCUCGUGUAUAAUUUGUUGUAAAAGUUUAAUGAAAAAUAACAUUUCUCCACGAUUACAUCUGCCAGCAAUGUUAUUAAAUCUUUCUGGAGUUUAAACAACUUUGAUUUUUAAUGUAGGUACCGUGGUGGAUUCUAAGAUCUGUCAUCCGACGGAAUUCGAUUUCUAUUUAUGCAGUCAUGCGGGAAUUCAGGUAUCAUAGUGAUAUGUUAGUCUUAGGUUGAGCUUUGAUUUUGUACCAAUACAAAUACAAAAAUAUGAUAUUCGUCUCUUGUUUCAUAACCAAUCAAAUGGGGCAUCGGAGGAGGGUAUAAGAAAAAUGAGAUGUUAAAGAAUCAUCUUUGUAUCGGAUUCACAUAAAUGCAAUUUACAGGGUACAAGUAGACCAGCCCAUUAUCAUGUUCUGUGGGACGAGAACAAUUUCAGUGCUGAUGAGAUUCAAUCUCUGACCAACAACUUGUGCUACACGUAAAUAACCUCUCUCAAUCAUCUAAAACUUGUUGCUCCAUUACUAUGAUGAAAUGAUCUUAUUAUUUUGAUUGUAGAUAUGCAAGAUGUACACGAUCUGUUUCUGUAGGUAAGUCUUUUGGCUCUUGCGCAACAUAUGUACUUGUAUCAGUUGUAUCAUCAUUUACCUGUUUUAAUCUUUCAUAGGAGCCACAUUGUUUUAACAAAAAGAAAAUCUUGGAAUUUGGGUAUUGAUAAUUUGAAUGCUAUGUGUACAGUGCCUCCUGCGUACUAUGCUCACUUGGCAGCAUACAGAGCUCGUUUCUACAUGGAACCAGAUGUUCAUGAGAUUGGUAAAUCUCGAGGUGGUAGAUCAAAAGAUGAGUCAGUUCGGCCACUACCAGCUCUGAAAGAGAAGGUGAAGAAUGUGAUGUUUUACUGUUGAAUGAGAAGCGAUAGAGAGACUUCCACGUAGAGAUACAGCAGCAUAUGUAGGAAAAGGAAAUUGAAAUUAAUACAAGUGAGAAAGUUCAACAUGUACAACCUAACUGCUCAUAAUUCAUAAUUCUCUGCAUGGAAUUUUUUGACCAAGUCUAGGUUGUUUCAGUCUUUCUAGUUCUUAGGGAAGCUUAUUAUGUAGAAAUUACUGGUGUAUCGAUUUUCGAGCUUCAGAGCAUGUGCUGCUGGAAUUACCUUACAUUUUAACAUGAAGUGAAAAAAGGUCUAAAAAUAGUGAAAUUGUUUCGACUAAACACUAUAACUUCAUACUCCAAUCCUUUUAUAAAUUAAAGUCAAUUUUCUCUCAAACUCGAUUUUAAAUGUUUACUAAAUAGGUCUCUUAAAUAAUCUCAUACCUUUAUACGUCAUUAACAUUAAUUUUUAGAAAUUUUGAAAUAUAAUUGAGCCCAAGAAUGCUGCUUACUGAAAAUUGUUUUCUCAUUAACUUUUGCUAAGCAAGUAGAGAACUUGGUUGUUUUCUUUUUUUAAGAUGAAAGUGCUAUAUAGUUGUGAAAGAUUGUAUGAGUUUCACUGUAUAAAGCACAAUAGUUUGCAUUCAUCGUAAGAGUUUAGAAAAUAAGAUAUUAGAAAUGAUAAUGUAAUUUAAAUAAUGAGACUAAUUUAUUUUAAUAUUAAAAGUUUAAAUUUAUAAGUGAAACUUCAAUUAACAAUUUUUAUUAUAUAAAAAAAAUAUUAUCUCUUUAAAACAUUUUUUCUAAAAGUUCUUUAUUUUCUCUCUGAGCCUUCUAACUCAUAGUUUAUUUAUUUGAAGAUAAAAAAUGUGUAAGUGAUCACUCUGACGAGAUUUUUAAGUUUGUCUGAUUAGUUUUUGUAUAAGAAUAAGUUAGUUUUUUUUUUUUUUUUCUAAUGUGUGUGUUUUUCCCAUAUAUGUGAAUAUUGUUAUAUCGCAUGUGUCAUAUGAGUUUUUUAUAAGAAUUUUUACUAAUCGUGAUACUAAUAGUAUGUUUUAAUAAUGAUUUUAUAGUUUAUAAAAUUUCUAAAGGAGUUAUUCUAGAUUCCUUACAACAGUUUAAGCCUCUAAUGUAUGUUGUAUUUUAGUUGAAAUUGUAAGUUCGUAUGAAAAGUUAUAUUUUGAAUAUGUGAAUUUACCUAGUUUUUGUUUGUAUGGCAUGGAUGAAAUUCUUAUAUAAGCUUUUAACCACCUAAUAAUAAGGUAACAAUGUACUCAUUAUUAGGUGGUUAAAUAUAUUACAAGCUUUUAACCACCUAAUAAUAAAUAUAUUACAAGCUUUUUGAUAAUCAUAAUUGGUACUCAUUAUUACCUAUUUUAUUUGGAUAUUUUAAAUUUAAUUAACCAAUGAAAAAUUACUAAUAAAAAACAUUAUAAGUGGAAGAAUUAUUUAAAAUUUAAUUUUAUAAAUUUUUAUUUAGAUUCAGAAUUAAAUUUGUUUUUAAUGAAAAUGAUUUAUUUGAAUUUAAACAUUUUGGUAUAAUUUAUUUUUUAAAAUGAAUAAUCUUAUUUGCAUUAAAAUCUUAUAAUGCAAUUUUAUUUAGAUAAUAUUUUACUGUAAAAAAUUAUUUAAGUCUACAUUUUAAAGAGUAACUUUUAAAUAAAUUUAUUUAAAAAUUUAAAAAUAUUUUAUGGAUGCAUGUAUAAAAUCUAUAAUUACUCUCCAACGAUAACACACUACCGCGCGUCAUCAUAGAUAUAGAAAAGGAUUUGGUCAACUAUUUAGACUUUGACCUGAAUAAUCUCUGGUUUAAUAAAGAAUAUCCAAGAAGGAAAUCACACAUCAAUAACUGAAUAGAGACAGGCAUAAUGAUGGAUGGAUAAUCAACGUUUCUCUCAGUCAAUCCUUCCUAAUCCCUCAGGUAAUGCUCAAACAGUUUAGAAAAAGUUCUUGAAUUUUAGAGAAUGCCAAUUUUCUCAGAGAGAUGUUAAAAAUACCUUUCUCAAAGACAAUCCACUGUUUAAACUUCAGAGGCUGAAAUCUUAGAGGACUGCUUUUCAUAGCUCUCCCAAAAUAAACAGGUUUAGACUCUCCAAUUCAAUAAUGUAUAACCUGGUUAUACUAAUGACAUAUAAGUAUUAUUGAUAUCUAUGAAAAUAUUAGACUGCGAGGCAUUUCAUCUUGAAAUGAAGCAUCUAUGUAAUUUGGAAGAAACUGCAAGUCAAGUUUUGCUGUGAUCUGUUUGAGAUCAGAGAGAUUCAGCACUAAUGUUUUUCAUUCACAUGCUUUGCAUGGUAGUACAACACAAUUCCAUGGUUUUAUAACAGCACGAAAUAAUUUAGCAGAGCGAUUUGAAGACGUUAUCUCCAUCUCCGGUAUUAUGAAAAUGGAAAUUGAAGACUAAACCGUGCUCUGCAUGAGAAGUGAGAACAAAGCAGAUGUAAUUGGAAGCUGAAGCCUCUUAUCAGAAAACCUUCGGGGUCAAUUGAGAAUUGCGUGGUGUUAUUUCCAUGUUACCAGUGCAACACCGCAGGGAAUAGGGCCACAGCCAGUGGCAUAUAACAAUGAGUUACAUUUCCAUCAAAUUAAUCAUGAAAUUUGAAUAGCAUUUCAUGAAACCAGGCUUUUAUGAGAUGUUCUGGACGACAACACCAAUGUAAUCUGAUAUCACUAAUCUCUGGUAGAAACAAGUUCUUAACAGAGUUCCUUGUCCAAAAGAAACUGAGUAUCGGAAGCUUUCACCACCAAAACACAAAUUCAACAAAAAAAAAAAAUGGAACAACAUCUAUCUCUUUAGUUUUUCUAACAGUUGAUUUAUAAUUAAUUCUAAAAGCUUAGUAUAUUUUAAAUCAGAGAUUUACAGUUGUGUUAAAUUGUUUUUGAAAUAAAAGAAUCAGUGGUUCGUGUAUCAAACAAAGUCCAUGGGGAUUUGUCCAAUAUGAGAGGUGCUCCAUAUAAAAACCACUCGCCAAAAGGUUUUGUUGUACAUCAUAUUGGAAAUGAAAAUCAUAUUUUCAAUUGAAUUAGCCAGUAAUUGACCAAAACACUAUUCUAAGAAGAAUUUCAGUUGCUAGUAGUAGCUUAAUGGUAAAGUCAACAGUUGCAAGGGAGAACAAAAUAGAUAAAAUAUUUAAAGUACAAUACUAAGGUAGACACAUUACACAGUCCCUAAAUUAUGCGCCAUAUAGCUUCCCAAUAUCUAAAUUUAAACGAUUGGGUUUCUCAACUACACUUCUCUGUAUUUUGUUUUAACAACAUUUACUUACCUUUUCUCAGUCGGCUCCAUUUAUCUUACACUUGGUUUGAUUUGGAGAAUAUAUGAAUGAAGAUGCCUAAGGAAGAAAAUGAAGAGAAAUAAUUUUAAAUGGUGGAACUGGCUAUACUGUUUUCUCACAUGUUUAUGCUCAUUUUUCUAUCCCUUUCAUCAUUCUUUAUUUCUCAUUUAUUUCCACUUUACUAACUUAUUUCCAUCUCAUCUAUUUCUCUUUUCUCAGCCAAACAAAACAUUAAGUUGUGGGAUUGCAGCUUAGCAAUUAGCAUCAAGUUGUGUUGAAUCACACGCAAGGGUUGUAAUUAACUCGUUUAAAGGUGGACUAAGAGUCUACUUAGAUAAAUUUCUUAAAUAACACUUAAAAAAAUAAGAAGGAAAACGAAAUUUAUAAUUAUAGAAGAACCUUAUUUCACUUUAUUUACUUAUUUCCUUGUUGAGAAGUCUAUCAAAACAAGACCUAAAUCUCACUUGUUGCCUGAGCAGAAAUCCGAAAGAAAACAGGACGCAGGUUUUUCGGACAAUUUAAGGCCAGUAAUUAACGGAGCACAUGGUCCAAACAGAGCCAAAUUUGCUAAAGAUAAAGAAGAAAUUGAUAAAUCUGACCUAAAUCUAUAACUUGGGGAAAAUAACUAGCUUUACUAAGUUUAAAGUUAUCGCUCAUCAGUCUGGAAGUAUGAUGAUUAUAUUAUUCUGAAAGUUGAAACAGAUGAAUAUCACAGUUCGCUCAGAAACAAAAGCAUAACAUUGACACGUGAAUUAUUCAAUACUACACCUUACCUAGAUAGCAAAGUGCCGAAGACGGAGACCAUGGAAAUGAAACAGCCAGCCAUGUAUUAAAAUCACAACAACAGGAAAACUGGGAGAAGAAAGUAUGCAAGCAAAAUUGAAAUUCCACAUCAUUGUGAAAACAAUUUCUCACAUUACAUAAAAUUUCCCUAACGUUGUUAAAAUAAGACAAUAAUUAUACAGUCACUGCAGCUUAAACAUGAAACAAGUGGUACAAAUGCUCAUCUAGAGAUAAGCUUACCCGUCCCAUCACUCUCACCUGCAAAAUCAUCAUCAUCACCGCCGCCGCCGCCGCCAAUGCCACCACCUUUGUUGUUUUCGAUAUCCAACUGCUUGGGCUGGGCCGGAGCACUCACAGCCCCAGUAACGGACUGCUGAUAGAGAACCCCCCCAACAAUGGUGAAAAGCAAACAAACCAACCCAACAGGGCUAGCGUGCUUAUCCCAAAUGAGGACGUUGAUCGCCACGGUGAGGAACUUGUUGACCACACCGGUGACGGUGAACGCCGUGGCGGAAACGGCCCUUCUAGCGGCGAAGCCGAAGAAACUGAUGAGCAAUCCGAAAAGGCAAGACAAUGAGACAGCGUAGAAGGCAGCGGGGUCAAAGAUGCCGGAUCUAAGGGCGGCGAAAACCUGGACGUUCUCCCCGGUGAGGAACCAGAAGAAUGGCGCCAUCAUGAGGGAGAGGAGGUUGUUGUACAAUACGAAGCCCCAGGUGUUGAGGCCGAGGUUCAUGACCAUGUGUUUGAUGUAGACCAUCUCGGUGGUGAUGGUGAUGAGGUAGGCGAAGGCCCAUGAGUAGGCGGUGAGGGUGAAGCCGGAGUCGGUGGCGACGUAGCCGAUGGCGGAGGCGAGGAUGAGGAGGAGGGAGAGGAAGGUGAGGUUGGAGGGGCAGGGCUGGCCCCGGAAGGCCGUGUCGGCGAGGGCGACGAGGAGAGGGGUGAGGGAGCGGAAGACGAUGAAGGUGUCGACGUUGGCGUGGCGGAGGAGGUUGGUGUUGGUGAAGAUGGCGAGGUAGAAGACCAGAGCGGCGGGGAAGAAUUUCUUUGCAGUGGGAAUGGUGAAGGGGUCAUGGUGGAGAAUCCCUAGCUUCCCCAGGACGUAGACGCCGAGCGCGGAGGUGAGGUAUUGGAGCGCCGUUAAGAGUCCUGGGUAGUUGAAUUUGGUGAUGGCGUAUUUGUUGAUUAUGGCGAGAAGGCUCGAACACAGAGCGUAACCCACCACCACCCCGCUCGUGCUGUAGUAUUGCUGCUUCCACGAAUCCAAUCUACCCAACGACAUUCUGAAGAAAUCGAAGAAAUCGAAGAAGAAGAAGAAGAUUGUUGUGGAAUGGAAAUGGAUCACCGACGCCCUAAUAUAUAGAUCUGAGGGUGUGUGAAUGCUAAUGGGUGUGGCAUAGGACAAUUAUUUACUGCACCCUCUCAGCCACACUUAUUUCUUCUUUCCCAGUUCAGACUUUGUAUGGUACCAUCCAAGCAGAGGAAACAGAUCUCCAUUUCUGCUUACCUAAAUUCCUAUUAUGUUUUUCUUUCCCUAUUUCCUUCUUUUAUUUUUUUUUUUCUUUUCUUUCUUAGUGAUGCUUAAACAAUUUAUUUUUAUAAUAUUUAAAUAUAAUUAUUUACGUAUUAUUACGUAAUUGAUCGAUAAUUAUUAUUAUUAUUAUUAAUUGUAAAAUAAUUUUAGAUAAAUACAAAUAUUCAAAUAUUAUAAAAAAUAUUGUCUAAAUAUUAUUAUCCCAUUUAAAAUACCGAAUCAAAAGAGAAAUAGAUUUUUUAAUUCCCUUUCUAACAUUUUUUAUAAAUCAAAUAAUAUUAUUUCCAGAAAAAUAAAAUCUGCUUUAAUUAGUACGGAUUUUAUAUUAUCUUUUUCAUCUUCAUUCAUCCAAACAAAUAUUUUAAUUUCUCUUGCAUUUCAGUCAUUGUUAAGAAAUGGUUCUUGUUCAAGGUUGCGUUGACAUAAUAUGCGAUUUGGAAAGGAAAUAAAAAUAUAUAUUCGUGAUUAACAAGCAUUUCGGAAUGUAUACAAUUGGAAAUAAGAAAAAUAAAGUUAUGGGUGUUAUAAUUAAUUAAUAAACAUGAAAUAAGAAAAAAACAUUGAGAUAAAUUAAAUAUUUUCUGUAACAUUUGUUUCGUAUGAAAUAAAAAAAUAGAUAAUCAGAAUGUGGUGAGGUAAAGAGGCAAAAGAAAAGUAUAUUAGAGUUUGUUAAUAUUUACUAUUGAAUUUUUUAUACUAUUAUUUAUUAAACUAAUUACUUAGCAUUUAAUAUUAAUAAUUUUAUUAUUUAUUAAUUAGUAUUUAAUUCUUUUUCAUGUAUUAUUCAUAUUGACUAUGGGUUAUUUACUGUUGACUUUAUAUUUUAGUAUUGACUGCUGACUAGUUAUUGUUUAUUAUUAUGAUUAGUAUUUAUAAUUUAUUUUGUAUUUUUUAUUUUAUUGUUAGUUAUAAUUUGUAGUAUGUUAAUUAUUAUUAUUUAUUUAUUAUACCACAUAACAUUUAAAAUUUAUUAUUCACCUUUAGUGAUUUAUUUACUAUUUGCUAGUUAUCAUUAUCCGUUUGCUUAUUAUACAUAAAAUUUUGUAUCUAUAGCUUAUCAUCUACUAUUUAAUAUUUAUUAUUUUUAACUAUUAUUUAGUAUUUAUUGGUUUAUGUUAUUAUUAUUGUUAUUGAUACUUAUUAAUUACUAUUUAGUAUUUUUUUAUUUAAUACUUUUUAUUACUAUUCAUCAUUUUUAUUUAUUAUAUGUAAACUAUAACUCAUUUCUUGUUAUUUACAAUCAUUAUUUAAUCAAAAUUAUUUUUAAAUCAUUAUUAAUUUAUUACUUAUUUAUUAAUUAUUAUUCUUCAGUUUGUUACCUACAAAUAUUUACUCCUAAACUUCGUUUGCUGAUAUGAUAAUUUUAAGACAUUGGCUUAAGUUAUUUUGUGCGUAUUUUAUAGCUUAAAGUUCAUUAUAUGUAUUACUAGCAAUUUAACUCUCUUUUUUUGGGUAAAAAUUUUAACUAGUUUCUGAAAAGUAAGCUACUUCUAUUUGAUCACGUGUUAUUGAGAAUUUAGAAUAGUGCAGGAAAUUGAAACUUCUUAAAAUUGUUAGGUGUUUUAAACUCAAAUUCUUAUUACUUUCCCACAAUUUUAAGAAUAAUGAUAUUUAGACAACACAUUUUUUAUAAUAUUUGAACAUUGAUUACGUGUCAAUAUGUGAUCGAUCAAAAAUUAUUCCACAAUCAAUAAUAAUAAUCAUAAAUAUUAUUAUGGAGUAAUUUUUGACAAAUCACAGAUUGACACGUAAUCAAUGUUCAAAUGUUGUCAAAAAAAUGUUGUCUAAAUAUCAUUAUUCCAAUUUUAAACUAUCCCGAAAUCAAUUUUUUUAAUAUGGAGACAGGUUAGAUAGGAUACAGAUAUUUAUUAUAUGAUUUCUAUUACUUUUUUCGAUAUUAAUUGGAUAUUUAUUUUAAAAAUAUUUGUAAGUAUUUUAAAAUUUGAUGGUAUCUAUAAAUAUUCACAAAUAUUUAAAAAACAAAUAUUUUAUAAAUUUUAAAAUAAAAUUAAAAAAAUAUAAAUGUAAAUUUAAUAAAAUAUAAAUUAAAUUUUUAUUUUAAUUAAAUUUAAUCUAAUAAAAUAUAUAUUUAAUUUUAAUUUUAAUUUUUUUUUGAAUAUUAAAUAUAAAUAGUAUGAUAUUUAUUAUAAACAAAAAUUAAAAUACUUAUUUUCUACUACUUAUGAAAAAUAAAUAUCUACGACUCUCAAUUAUCUACCACAAAUUUUUAUUUUUGUCAUCCUGUAACAGGGCUUUCCUUUGACAUCGUUUUAGUUUUUCUUUUUUUCUUCUCCUAACAAAUUAGGGUUCCACUUGUGGUAAAUAAAUUAAGUACGAAGUCGUGUUUGUCGUAUCGAAUUGGCAACCACUGGGACAGUAAUUGUCAGCCAAAAUCCUACCAUACAUACACAUUCUCAAUUUUCAUUUUUCAUGUGUUCAAUCAUUAUGAAAUAUAUUAUAUUUUUAAUAAAACACGAUUCAAGAAAAAAUAUAUAAUUUUAUUAUAAUUAUCUAAAAUAAUAUAUAAUUGCAAGACAUAUCUAUCUAUCUAUCUAUCUAUCUAUCUAUAUAUAUAUAUAUAUAUAUAUAUAUAUAUAUAUAUAUAUAUAUAUAUUUAUUAUUUUACAUUACAAAAAAAAUAUACUACAUGGAAUUAAAAGUAUUAUAAACUUUAUAAACCAAGAGAAAACAAUAUCAACAAGUUUUUCUUACGAGAGACACGUCUAAACUCAAAUGAUUAAAGUAAUCAUUAUAAAAAGAUGACACGCUAACAAAUAAACAAAGAUAUAAAAUAAGUAAAGUACUAAAAGAAUAUACAUACAUUUAAAACAUUAAUAUCAUAUUCAUAAUAUAAAUCAAACAAUACAUAAAUAAUCAUAUAACCUUAAACGCCAAUCAUCCGGAUACAUUUAUUGAUUUCGAACUCAUGAAGGAUUUGUCCCGUUUGUGGUAAAACAACAAGACCAAAACCAAUGAUCAUUGACUAAGACCUCUUGUUAUUCUCCAUGACAUAACUACUAUCAUCUCUACUUGAGAUUGAGAGUUAUUCAGAAUGUCAAAAUCACCCCUCAAUCUCGGAGUCCCUACUUCAAUACAUAUCACAACAUAACAACCAUAAGGAUUUUCUCAUGGAAUCAUUUUCACAUCAUACUUAAUUCAUACACACUUUCAUGUUUAUCAUCCAUGAAGUAUUCACAUAUAUUAAAAUUAUACAUAUCAUCAUAACCAUUCAUAUCAUGGUAAACAACUAUCAUACAUAUUAACAUUCAAAUUACAUUUCAUGAAGUAUGAUGUAUACCAUCAAAUCCAUCCAUCACAAACAUAUAUAUAAACAUGUUCACAAACCAUAAUUACCCAUUUAUUUUGAGAUAAUCGAUUAUUCCAAAGAAUUUUAAGCAACUAUAACAAUACUUACCGAUUAUCAGAUCUAAUAAUACCUACUACAAUAAUCGAUUAUCAGAUCUAAUAAUCGAUUAUUGUAAAGAGUUUUUCAGCAAACAUAUGAUUUUGACUGAAAUAUUCAAUUAUCAAGUCUGAUAAUCAAUUAUUCCUAUUGGUUUUUUACAACAUGAUUUUUGGAUUUGGUUACUUCCAACACCUAUCGAAAUGAUCAAAAUGACAUCCUAGAUAUUGGAAUUAAUCCAAAAAUAGAUUUAUAACUUAAAUUAGAUACCAAUCUAGUAACUUGGUCAGGAAUCAGGGUUCAACCAAACCAUGUACAACCCACAACUCAUGAAUCAUAAUUCCAGUGCUUUAAACUAAAUUUUCCAAUGCACUAACUAGCCAAUUAAAUCCUAAAUGGCUUUAAAGUAAACACUAAACAAUAAUUUUUCUAUAAGACCAUUUUCCAAGAUUUCACCUGUUAAAAUCUCUUUUUCUUAGCUAAAAUUAAUCCCUACAUUGUCCUAUUGAGAAACCAAAACUCUAAUAUACCAAAUUCUAUAUAACUCAUAUAAGAUUUUGUUGAACUAAAAAGUUACAUAAGUCUUAAAUGGCCUAAAAAUUAAUCCUAAACAUCAAGUUUCUCUCCAAAACUACUUCUCAAGAAAAUCGCUUAUUUAAAACCCCAAAUUAGACCCAAGACUAGCCAAAACUUUCACCUUCCACUACUUUAAGGUUAAAUAAUAAUUCCUAACCAAUUACAACAACUAAAGUGAUCAAAACAAGAAAUAUACAACAAGCAUUCAUCUCAAGCAAUUGCAUCACAACACAAUAAAAUCCACAUAAGCUAAUUCUCUUUAAACCAGACUCUAACAUACCAAUUCAGAUAAUCAAAGCAUUAAUAUAAUAAAAAAGAAGUAUUUAGCUUCCUUUACCUAUUACACGACCGAACGAUCCUAUAAAGAACCUAUAAUUGUUUCUUUAGCUUAGAGAACUCUAUUUGCACUUACAAACCACAAAAUCAUUAUCAAUGUGUUGAUCAACAAAAAACCUAAAGGAAAACUUAGAUAACACAUUUGGUGGAAAAUUGCUCAUAUGCAUUGGAAAACAUGAAAACUAGAAAAAAUAGUAGAAACUAGCUUACUCGUUUGUAAGAACUGUUUGGCUAGACUAUAAAUCUUGUCGCAGUAAUCACUUUGACACUCUCAUAUUCAAACCGACAAUUGAAUAAAUAUGACUAAAAAAAACUUUAGACCAAACCGUUUUUAAAAAAAUAAUAUAACUUAAAAUAAUAAAAAUCGCCUUAUAAAAAUUUUAUUUAUAUUAUAAAUUUUUAACAUUAAAAUAUUUGAAUCUUAUUAUUUAGUCAAUAUUAUCCACUUAAAAAAACAAAUUUAUGGGUUGUUACAAUAUUUAUUUAAUAUUUCAAUUAUUUGGGAAAUUAUAAAUCCAUAGCUGAAGGUAAACCAAGUUAAUUUCGUUAAAGAAUAACUUGUUUUCAAAUAUUUUAAUCAUCAAGAUUGGUUUUUUAAAUAAUUUUAUUAUUUUAACGAUGAUACCGGUAUUUCUUUAUCAUCUCAUUCAUGAUUAUGAAUGCUGAUAAAAACGGGCGUAUAACUACAAUUUUUGUUAUAUUGUUAAUACAUACACAUUAUAAUUUUUUUUUUAUGAGAUGUUUAUUUUUUAAUUUUUAUUUUAUUUUAUUUUUAUUACACCUUGUAUUACGCCUGUAGUUGUCUUUUUCUUAUUUUAUUUUUUUGGAGGGAGUAUUUUGCUUCAGUUUUCCUUAAAAAGAAAAUAGUCUAAGUGACUCUUGCAGGUCUUUUUGUGUACCAUUCGUCGGUUGUUGUCUGUUUUUCCUUUCUCAAUGUUAUUUAUUUGAAGAAUAAAGUCAUUAAAGAAGGCUAUUGGUCCAUUUCGAAAAUAUUUAAAUGUCAGAUUACUUGUGCUAUAUUUUUAUUAUAAUAUAUAUAUAUAUAUAUAUAUAUAUAUAUAUAUAUAUAUAUAUAUAUAUUGACGACAUUUAUAUAUAAAUUAUUUCAAAAGAUAAAUAUAUAUUGUGUAAAAGUACAUAUGCAACUUUUAUUGAUAAAAUAUGUUGUAUCGUAUAUAAUAUUCAAUAUUUAUUUUACAAUAAUCUAAUAAUUAAAUUUUAAUUUCAACGACAUCAACUAAAAUGCAAACGUGUUUAUUAUUAUAUUUAACCCAUCAAGAUCACGAUCUCAAGUUUUGUUCAAAUAUUGAAUGAAGUCAACUUUCUUUACCUUUUAACUCUUGGAUCGUUUCAAAGAAUUGUUCAAAAGAUGUCAUAAGCUUCUGCGAUAAAAGUACUCUUAGAAUUGUCUAUUAUUAAAAUACAUAAUCAACUCGUGAAUUAUAAAUUUUAUUCUUAAUUGGAUAACUUGAUUGAAAUUCAAGGAACACUGGUUUUAUAUAAUUAAAAGUAAACGAAAGUAGUGGCUUAUGUGUGAAGUCGCAAAACCCUUCAUUGAAUUCUUUAAGUAAAAACUAAUUAGCAUUUAAUGAAAGACUUAAUUAAAGUUUGAAGAUACAUGUUAAUCUUCAGUAUUAAUAACAAUGCCUAUUACAUUCCAACUCACAACACACUUAAUUGAACACAUAAAGAAAAGACUUAACACACUCAAAUAAAAGGCUUAAUUAAAGUUUAAUUAAGGAUCACAAUUCAUCCCUAUGUGCCUAUAUUCAUGCAUAACCAAUCAAGUUUCAACUCAAAAAUCACUUAAUUAAUUAAUUAAUGGCACAUCUCAAGCAAGAAAAAAAAUUAAAACUCAAUUUGUACUUCAUAAAAAAAUGAAUUUUUUUUUUAAAAAGUAAUUAAUCAAUACGUUGUAGGAAAAAUAUUAAUUAAUUCACAUAAACAUGUUUAAAAUAGUCAGUCAUCAAAUUCUUUAGGUCUUCUCCCAUGGAUAAAAUUCUGUCACGUUGAUCAUCUACGACCUUGUAUUGCAUCAGCACAACAAAAAUCUACCCAAUAAUAAUAAUCAUAAGAGAUGUGUAUAAAAAAUAAAAACUAUACUUGUUAAUCUAUUAAAAAUAAUAAGAAAAGUUGCAUCAGUUAUGACACGUUUGAAUUAAAGCCCACUUAAAUGCUAGCAUUUAUUUUCUGGGUAUACACAGUGGGUUGUGUCUGGUGGGCCAAUGACCCUGGGUUGUGUCUGAUGGGCCAAUGGGCCAUGUGGGUCACCUUAUCUGAAGGACCAAAACUUGCAGAAAUGACAAGAGAAAAGGAAAGAGAAGACAUGCGAGGUAUAUAAGGGUUCUUCAGUGAAUUGAAAUUAAUAAUUUAAGAGACAAUGACCGGUGACUGAAAGAGCAACAGAAGGAAAAAUGAUUAAGAAAAGAAGGAAAGAAAUAAAUGUGGAAGUUCCUUGAAUAGCAACUCCAAUGGCUGAGUGAUACAUAAGACAAUGAGUAACGUCAGUAGUUUUAAGUAGAUGGUGAAAAUCAAGGUGGAUAACAUAAACUAAACAACUGCGUUUCUCAUCUCAUACUGGAUAACUAAACAAUUCAUAGUGCAUGCCUACAUCAACAUAAAGUAACCUAACACGUAAUUUUGUAAUUUGAUAGCUUCCAUCGAACUAAUAAUUAAGAAUUGAAGCAGACAUUGUAGUAUGUCAGUGGCUACAAGUUGGAUGGUACAUGUAUAAUAUAGUUUAUGCUGCAGGUGCGUAGUCGUAACUACCGUCGUCGUCGUCGUCAUCACCCUCCAUAGAGGCAACUGGGAGAAAGCUGAGAAAAGCAGUUUGUUGAAUGGAAGUUGGCGGAGCAUGAUAAUUCUGACGGAGAAGAUGAUCGUUGGCAUGUUUGUUGCAGCAGGGGGCAAUGGCGUUGGCACUGAACGACAUUUUUGUAAGAUGGUAGAGGAAGAAGAAGAAGAAGAAGAAGAGGAAGGUAUAAGAGAGUAGUGGUGUGAGUUGAGUUGAGUUGAGUUGAGUAGAGAAAAGAGUGGAUGGUGUUUAUAAAGGGAAGGGUAAGCGUUGAGCUCGUUUUGGCGCGUGGAGCCACGAGGGAAGUGUGUGGAUUUAUGCUUGGGGUGUGAGGAAGACCCGGUCCAAGGAUGUUUGACCAGCCACGUUGGAACAAGUCAGCAAAAUAGUUGGAGAAAUCUCAACAUGUUGCUGUUGUUGGAGUCUACAAACAAGGCUUGGUUUAGACUACUGCUUAGCUGCGUGUUUAUAUUAAUUAAUUAGCAUCGAAUCUAUAUCGUUCUUUACGUGAAUUAGUGGGUUUUUUUUAGUGUUAGUUUCUUUCUGUUGACUGUGGCGACAAGGGGAAUUAGUUCGAUUUCAU
rnacentral:lncRNA from 1 species